GCAAUGGCAGAUUGGGACCUACCACUGGAGGUAUGGGUAGCCCUGAAAUCGGAGGAAGGGGUAGCUUAGGGACGGUCACUGGAGGAACGGGUAGCUUAGGUACAGUUACCGGGGGAACGGGUAGCUUAGGGACUGUCACUGGAGGAACGGGUAGCUUGGGGACGGUCACUGGAGGAACGGGUAGCUUGGGGACGGUCACAGGAGGAACGGGUAGCUUAGGUACAGUCACUGGUGGAACGGGUAGCUUAGGGAUGGUCACAGGAGGAACGGGUAGCUUAGGGACGGUCACCGGAGGGACUGGUAGCUUAGGGACGGUCACCGGAGGAACUGGUAGCUUAGGGACGGUCACCGGAGGAACUGGUAGCUUAGGGGCUUUAGGGGAGUGCUUUCCGCCCUUCCGUGGGUUGCAAGAGCCGCAUGCGAGAGAAUGUUGGGGGAGAUAGAUAAUGCAAAUGAGGAAGAGGCAAAGAGAGAGAGAUGAGAGUUUGGAGGAGUCCAUGUUGAGUAGAGUGGAUGGUGUAACUAUACGAAAGAGUAUAUGAAUAUAUAGAGGGAAAAUGAGAAGAAGAAUUCACGUGAAGAUGGGGGCUACUUCUGCAAUAAGAAGAGACGCCCCAAAAUAAGCAUGGUUGGCAAUUAUCAUAAGAAUACAAGAUUUCCUUGAUGACCCAUCGCUAUAUAUCAUCACAUGUCGACCACACUUUUUUCACUUUUUUUUUUCUAAGUGCCUCUUGUUCUUGGGUUAACUACAACUUUUAACAACGUGUAACUUCAGUUUCAACAGUACAGUACAUUUAACUUGUAGGAAUUGUAAUGAAUCAACUUAGCGAGACUAGGUCAUUAUGAGAUAUCAUCAAUACUAAAUAACAUUUUGAUGAUGUAAACACUCUAGGAAAAGCAGAUAAUAUAGUAUCAUAUGGUUUUCGCUUUAGUGUGUGGCUUCAUAAGCAUCUCCAUGCAUGAGUCGACUGCUAAGGAACAUAUAGAUCUGCACCAUAGUGAAGACGGCUUAGUCUAUUCAAAACACUAAUGUUGUGCCUUUCGAGGACCUCCCGAGACUCGAAUUCGAAUGCACUCUCCAAAGGUAUUAUGUUAGGGAAAAAACCUUAUUAAACCAAAUAUGUUACUGUUUAACCCAUACACGAAAAUUAGAUAUAUAAAUGUUGAACAAAUAGCAUAUAGUUAUAUCCAAUAUAUACGUACAUGAGAGGUAAAGAAGACAGCAAGACUGACAUGUGAAAUUCGGGAUACACUUUUGUUGUUUGGUGAUUUUGUUACGUAGUGUCAUUAAAGAAACGAUCAUGUGUGCGUGGACCAUCUUCUUCUUUUUACCGCUCAUUUCCCUUUUUACCAUAUCUACUACAAAAGAGUCCGAACUGACCAUUUAAUGAACGAGUACCAUUCAAUUCAUAAACUCCCCGUAUCAAUCUAACUGACACUGUAAAAGUUAUAAUGUUAAUAUAUAAAAAUAAUAUGGUUAUUUAGCAUGAAUAAUAACUUUUUAUAAUUGAGAGUAUGUCUAGCUAACAUUGGUGAUUGGUGCUUACAUAAAUCAUAUUUUUCAAACCACUUAACAAGAACUUUACAUAUUCAAUGAUAAACGAAUCACAUUUAUACAAUAUACCAUUCAAAAAUAAUAUUGUAAGAUGAUUUGAAAUUAAACGAUUGUAAUAUAUAAUGUGUUAAAAGUAAUGUAUUAUAGAUAUCUUGUAAUUAUUUAAAGGGUUUUGUGCAAAAAAAAAAACCACUAACUCAUACAUUUUUCCAAUUUACUAUCCAGCUCUAAUAAAUGCACAUUAAUCCUAUGAAUCUAAAAUAAUACGCAUUGUAACCCUUUUUGACCAUUUUUUGCUACCAUCAAUUUUGUAAAAUAUUGAUAUAUAAUAUGUUAAAUCAAAGCUCUCGCGACCAAGAGUUCAACUCUACCUUUAAAAAUUUUAAAAUGUAAUGUAUGUAACCGUAAAAACGCUUGUAAUAUGCAUAUGAAAUUUAUAUUACAUAUUAUGUUAAACUUCAUAAGAUUAAUCUGCAUUUGUUGGUAGUGCAUUUGUUAGAGGUGGAAGGUAAUGUUGCAAAAAUAGAUGAGUUAAAAGAUUUCUUUUUGCACAAAACCCUUUAUUUAAACUACUAACAAUAUAAUAUAUAAAUAAUUUAAAACAUAUAUCUCUAUAAUUCAUGAAGUAAUAAUGGUGUACCCUAUCCUUACCAACGAAUAAUAAAGAAAUGAUAUUAACUCUGAUUCAAAAGCUAUAUAUAAGAUAUUCUUUUUUUUUCCUCGGGAGGGAUACGAAUCCGGUAACAUGAAUCAGUGUCCAAUAAGAGCCAGUGGUCGUAAAUUCCAAAUGACAGAUGGAUGACUCAUUUUAAUUCGUAACUUUUGUCAGCUGCGAUAUAUGCUAAUGAAACCUGAGGUGCUAGAUUUUGAUUUUAAUGGCUUUAGAUUCUUACUCAACACUCAAUGGCCCACUCGUUAAUCUCUUACCUUCUAAAGUGAGUUAUGAUCCACUGCUUCUUUCUUCUUGUAGAUAGAUGGACCUGUUUUUUUUAGGUUGUGAUUUGUGGACAUUAAUCAACAACCCAUGUUUAUACGUGAUAAUGUCUGGAGCUAUAUGUAAAGGCGAUAUGGAGGACAACAUUCCUCUAUUCUAACUUUAAAAGCCAUGUAGUUAGGGCUGGACACCAAUAUUCUUUUUUUUUUUGCUAAAUUGUAAAUAUCAUUUUGAUGAAAAAUCAGGUUUUACAACAGUUGUAUAACCUAAAACAUUUGAACUCUUUGGCAAAAAAGAAUAAAAAAACGAAGAGCCAAUCGAGAGCUGCAUAGAACUCGGUAGUUUCAUAGCAGCCACAACGCUAUUAACUUGCGAAAAAGGAGUCUGUUUCUUCUUGAGGUGAUAACGUUUUUGAUUUUGCGGUUGAUGCACUUGAAUAUAGAAUGCGGAGAGAGGGAAGUAGCGUUGUGCAGGACAUUGUUAGGCUGCUUCAAGAUGUGGAAGACCUUAGACUGAACGACAAUAAUUUUAAGAACUGAUGAAGCCAAUAUUCAUCAUUUUCAAACAAAAAAUAUCUUUUGUUUGACACCAAUAUCCUUGACCAGCUUCAAACAAAGGAUAUACAUCAUUUUUAAGUCGGGUAAGGCAAAUGAGUAUAAGGAUUCUCAUUACACAUCUGGUUGCCAAAAACUUUUAGUCAAAUACUAGUUACAAUCUCAGUUUUUUACCCCAAACUUUUUGCCACUUAAAAAACUAGGGGUGGGCAUUCGGGUAAGCGGGUCGGGUUCGGGUUCGGGUAAAACCCGAUCAGGUAUAAAGAAGUUUAGGAUCUAAUAGGGUAAAUCUAAAAUAUCGGUUCGGUUUCGAUUCGGGUCCAACCGGGUUCGGAUAUAGAUUUGUGGCCUUUUUUUAUCCAGAUUUUUCGGGUAAAAUUUUGGAUUUCGGAUAAAAUUUAGAUUUUUGAAUAAAAUAUUUGGGUAUUUUCGGGUUCGAGUUUGUUUUUUCGGGUAGAGAAAUUUAGGAUCCAGUAAAGUACAUCUUCGGAUUUGGAUUAAGUUUCAGCUCUAAUUUUUCGAGUUAGUUUCGGUUCGGAUAAUCGGUUCUGGUUUUUUGGCCCGGCUCUAUAGAAAACCAUCAAUAAAUAUUUUAAUCCUAUUUCUGCCUCAUUACUCGAGAAAAUAUUCGACCCGUUUUAUUACUUGAUAAAUUUACAACUAUAUAUUUAUGUAAUCUAUUUCAUAUUAGUAAAAUAUAUUAAAUUUGUUAUUAAAACCAAAUAUCUUUUGAGAUUAGGGCAAUCAAAAGUUAAGGUCAAGCAAAUGUCUCCUUUCUAAAUGUUUUUGUGGGUAACGGUAAAGGACAAAUAUACAGCCCAUGCCCAGACCUACAAGUAGCGACUCCAUUACUACACAGUAAGAUUUUUAUUAAUAAAAAUGUGCAUGGUUUCAUUUAAAAGUCAUUGCUAACACUUCACUUUACAGUAAUAUUCAAUUUCAUACCUUUAAACGUUAAUCAGAAUCGCCAAUUGGAAGCCAGUCACUGGAAUCACCUUCCGAAUCCUUGCUAUGUCCAACUUGGCUCUUGCUGAGCUGAACCCAGCUUGACCCGCUUGCGUUUGAUGCUGGUCUUUUCAGUGUACUCCUGUUGGGACUUGGCUUCUCCGAGAGAUCAUCGACAUCUAAAUCACUAAAGGAGAUUACCUCUUCAUCUCUGAAACUCCUCCGUUGUUCUUCAGAUGACUCAUCACUUAUCUCCCUUUGCUCAAUUUUUAGAGUCUCUAUCUUGUCAAUGACUCCCUCAACGGUUUCUGUUUCCCUACUGCUACCUUCUUCAGGAGUUUCGUGACCAGUAGUGCUCUUGCUUGACCCUGUCUCUUUCUUUUGCAGCUUUAGUAAAAGUUGAUCCCUUGUUUCAAAUACCUGUGCCGCACAAUAUAGUUAUUAAAGUUUCAGAAAUAGGUACAAUAGUAACUUGGGAAAAAAUGCAGAGCAUAAAAGAUAUAAAACAAUCCAAUUUUAAAAGCAUCAGGCAAAAAUACAUUUUUUCCUGAGGCUAUACUUGUUCUUAUUGCAAUCGGUUGAAGGGGUCAUUAUAGCAUAAACGUUUACGAUUUUAAUAAUAUUGGAUCAAUACUGACAUUUCAGAAGAAUGUAUUUCCAGUAUACAGUCUUACCUUGCAUGUUGCUAAGAGUUCAAAAUCAUGCCCAUUCAGUCUCGGCAUCAGCAAAAUAAAAUAAAUCAGCCAGAAGUGUUCAUCAUCCAUGUAACUACUAACUUGAUUCUUCACAGCUACAAGGCCAGGAACCAAAUCUUCAAUGGCUGAUGCAUGUGCCCUUUGAGCCUCAGACAGUUCAAAUUCUGCAAUGUGGACAUGAAAAGUUGGAGAAAAACUUCAGCAUAAUUCAGUAGGUAAAAUUGAUGUAAACCACCAAUGCUUUUUAUCAGGAAGUGUUUCGACAACAUUUUCAAGCAAACCAAGCCUAUAUACAAAAGGUUGUACAGGAUGACGAUAUGCUUCGCAAUAAAAUAAAUAAAAAGAUUUAAGUGGCAUAUGGAUUGAACUAUAUAUAUAUAUAUAUAUAUAUAUAUAUAUCCCAAGAAGAGACUGCAGACCCCGUCAAGUUUAUUCGUAAUUCCUGGAGAUCUAUCUAAAGAACAGGGACUUCAAAAAAAAAAAUUAACUGCAGAAACAAUCAAUCUUGUCCAAACAGGUCUAGAAUAAAACACAUCAAGAGUUAAAGACUGAAGCAUAAUCAUCUUUGGCGACUGAAAACAAGUCAACUAUAUUUCCAAGAACAAUCAUGUUUAUUCCUGCAUGGCUGCAAGUUCGUCGACAAUAUCUUCAAGGUAUGAAAAAUGUGAUCUACAGAGAGUAAUGGGACCCCGAGAUCCUAAAGACCUGAGCUUGAAGAAAUAUAUCCCAAGAGGAGAUGGCAGGACCGGUCUAACCUAAUCUAAAAUACUAGGAAAUCUCUCUAAAGAACACCAGAGGCUACAAGCAAUCAACUGUACAAACAAAAAAAAUAUUUUCCUAAUAAAUCACAGUAAGAAAAUCAUAACUAAACAUAGAUAGUUAGAAACCACCAAUGCGGUGCUUCGACUAUACUUUCAAACUAACAAAGCCUAUAUACUGGGAACAAAAAUAUGCUUGAAGAAAUAUGUCCAAAUAAGCUUAAUCUGUAACCCUAGUGAUCCCACUAGAAAGCCAAUCAACUGUAGAAGCAAUCAAUCUUUUCCAAAUAAAACCUAUUUUAGUAACAAUUAUGUUUGCCUACUGGGAAAAAAAAAAGUCAAUGCAGAGCUUAAGACUAUUGAGAAUCAAGCUUUAUGAUUCCUCUAUUGACUAUACAGGAGCAUUACCAGUAUCGAGUGACAAUGGAAAAUCUGUCCAACAACCAGGUUUCGUCGAGAUUUUAACAGCGAAAUCGACUACUUCUUCAGAGAUUCCAGGAACUUGAUCGUUCAACGGAGAUCUUCUACUACUUUCUCUAUCUCUUAGAUUACUAGGAAAUUGGAGUAAAUUAGAUGCGAAAUUGGAGAAAUUUCCACGAAUCUCGGCUAGAUCGUUGCGGAUCCCGAGAAGACCUAGCUGAGUUGGUGAAUUAUCAGAGGAGAGUCGGCGUUCGUUUACAGGUGGAGAAGGAGGCGGUGCCAGGAAAGCUGCGACGCCACGGAGUAAGGAAGAUAAAUCUUCUUUGACACCGCCAUGAGUUGUGGAAGGAUCGGGAUCGGGAUCGUGAUCGUCAUCGCCGCGAGAUUUGAAGAGCCAAGACAUGGUUUUUGAGUGAGAGAGGUUGGAUUUGGGGUUUUCAGUUUUUUUUGCACGGGGUUACGAAUAGCAAGAGAGAAGAAACGGUACGUUUUAAUACCUUUCCAAAACGCACCGUUUGUUGUUUGUUCGUUUUGAUACCUUCCCAAACGUGAAAUAAACGAACAAUAAUUAUACAAAAUAAACGGAAACAAAACCUACUUUUUAAAACGGGAAAAUAUCGUUUUAUACGUGAUGUUUUUAAGAAUGGUCAUUUUAUAUGUAAACUUUUAGAUCGAUCAAAUAAAAUAUGAUAAAAAUGUUGAUCCGCUAUUUAAACAAAACAUAAAGUUUGCCUGGCCAAAAUUUCCGAAAUGUUAACUUGUAUUAACGGAUCUGAUAACCCUCGUUAGCAGACGUUAGUCGUCUUCCGUUAAUACCAAACGAUUUUUUGUGAUGAGUACAAACCUUAAAAUUCCCAAAUCGAUUUUUCAUUCCCUAAUUCUUCAUAAUCCCCAAAAUUUGAACUAUUCUCGAUAUAUUUUUUUUGAGCUCAAAAUCUCCAUUUUGUGUAGAUAUGAGUUUAAAAAAUUUGAGUGUUCAAGAAGGAGGAAGUGGGAACCUUGGGUUUCCUUCAAAGUGUCAUUGGGGGAGAGAUUUCAUCAUCUAUAUAUCAAGCUCGACGAAGAACCCAAGAAGAUCCUUCUUCUGUUGUCCAACAUAUCAAGAUGUAAGUAGAUUUGAAUUUGUUUUUUUUGGUGUUUGAUCGGUAAAAAGUUGUCGUUGUAAAUGCAGGACCAUUUGUUUAAGUGAGUCGAAGAUUGUGUGUAUGAAGAGGUUGUAGAUGCAAUACUGAUAAUCUCUAUGAUUGAUAGCUAGAUAAACAAUGUCAAAUUUCAGGUUGUAGUCGAGAUUGCAGAAUUAAAGGUUUUGAUCCAAGAAUUGAAGGAAGAUGAAAUGUGGAGCAAAAUGGAAUUGAAGAUAUGGAAAUCGAUGACCAAAUUGUGCUUGGUGUGCCUUUGUAUAACAGUCAUUGCAAUUAUGAUCAUAAUGUUCUAUAAGACCAAAAACCAUAAGCUUGUUCUUGGUUACUAGUGUUUUGUGUUUGUAAUAAAAUGUUUUUAUGGUACUGAAAUGUUUGUUUGGCAAUGAUAAUCAGUCCUAGUGUUUUGUCUUAGUGUUGUGAUUGUAAUGAAAUGCUACUAGAUGCUUGUUUAACAAUGAGAAUCACCAAAAUGAAACUCAUUCAUACAUUAUAAAACUUGUGUCACAAAGACAAGUCGAAACCACAAAAUGAAAUCGAUACUAAGCUUAUGUCAUAAAGACAAAUCCAUUAUGUCAACCACCAAAAAUAAACUUAUGAGAAAGCUUAAGUUCAAACAACAACAAAAAGAAACUUGUGACUAAUCUUGUCUUGAACACUCAAACCAUGAUGCAAAUCCACCAAGUCCUUGUGGUUGAGCAUGUGGCUCAGUUUGUGCUUGUGCUUGUGGUUCUGUUUGGGAUUGUACUUGUGAUGCUCCACCUGUCUCCCUUGGUCUUUCUGAUGUUCCGCCUGUUGCCCUUGGUCCUUGUGAUCGAAUAUGAGAUUGUGAUCCUUGAUGAGGUUGUGAUCCGUGUAUUUGCUCUUGCGAUUCGAGCACUUGAGAUCGUGAUCCUUAAUGAGAUUGUGAACUUUGAUGAGGUUGUGAUCUUAGCACUUGUGAUUCCUCCUAAGUUAAAUAUGACAGUCUGAACAGUUGCAUGAUUAAGUGAGUUGUAAAACAUAUAAAAAAAAACAAGAAUACAAACCUGAUUUAUUCGUGGAUGACCUCUUGGUCUCUUUGGUGGAAUCAGAAUAGUGGCAUUUUUGCAGCUUUGCUUGUUUGCCCUUGUUGAAGGCAGUUAGAGCAUGUCAUGAUUCUCUUUUGCAGUGGCAUCUUGUUCUUAUUUGAAGAAGAAGAAGUCUCAUUUCUUCCUUUUCUCCUAACAUAAUUACUCGGUCUUCCAACAUUUCCUUUUGUCCAUGGUGGUGGCAAAACAGGGAGCCUAUUGGUUUUAGGCCACAAUGGCAUACCUUGGACAAGGCUAAUACCAUCUUUAUAAGUUUUUCGCCAGAUUACCUUUGUGUAAAACUUGCUCACAUAGUCUGCAACUGUUUCUCUUCUUCCUAUUAUCACAGGUGUCGCAUAAAUACAUGGGAUCCCCACCAUCUACCACUUCCUGCGACCACAAGUUCUCUUCUCCGUAUCAACAUAGUAGCUAACACCAUUCACAUCAAUUUGAUACAAAUUGUUUCUGGACAUAUAUCUCUCGCAAUUUCUAACCCCAACUAUCAUUUUCUCAAUCUCAAGAUGGGCUCUCUUUGUGAACCUUGUCUUCAAUUUGUCAGCAAUGAUAUACGUCUUCGUAGUUAUGACCAUGCAUUACCUCUGGAUGUACUCUAGCUAAUCCAACAAAGGCUUUCUCCUAGCCUGUUUAAUAGUCUUAUUAAAAGACUCACACUGAUUAUUGAGGCUGUCAUUGCAACGUGUCCAAUUCUAAAGAAGGCUCUCGACCAUGUCAUUGGACUAGUAAGUUGCGAGUGGCAUGCGCAUGAGGAUUGUAUCUCUUUAGCUCUUCCAUAUUAUUCAUGAACACUUCUUCAGUGUAGCUUCAAAUUGUUUUUCAAAGAGACAUUGUAGUUCUAUCUCAUGGUUGUCUCUCUUCCAAUUGUCCAUUAUAUGCCUUGAAUAUUGUCGAUGCUCAACUUCUGGAAGUAUGGUAUUGAUAGCUUUGACUAGACCCUGUAAAAUAACACAAAAACAUAAGCGUAAACCCUUCAUAAAAGACAUUAAACUGAAGCAAAAGAUGAUAAAAUUAACUGAUUAUUUAUCUGAAAUGAUAACUAGAUGUUGCAUUUCACAGUCCCAAACUAGUAGAGAGCUGUCUCAAAAACCAGUCCCAAUUAUCAUUGUUUUCUAUCUCAACAACUGCCCAAGCUAUAGGAACAAUCCUCUUAUCUCCAUCUCUUCCAACUACAGCUAAAAGGUGACCUUUUACAUCCCAUUUUAGAAAACCCAUCUAUUCCUAUCACAGGUCUACAAGUUCGCUUCCAAGAAUCCUUUUGAGAUUUAAAGCAGAUAUAGCACCAGAGAAAAGAAUCCUUUUGUGAUAUAAAGCAGCUAUAGCAUCAGAGAAACCUUUGCUUGCUUCCAAUAAAAAGCCCUACUGUUGUCUCUAUCUCAAACUCUGUCUCUGGGUUCUACUUUAAAACCUCCGCUUGAUAAUCUCAUAUUCUUGAAAAGUGAUCAUUAUGAGUAGCAUGUCAUGCUUUCAACACUUUGGUCUUGGCCUUUGCACAUUGGUCUGGAGUCACAUCCAAAUUGAAUUCUCUCUGAAUCUCAACAACCAUCUCGUUCUUUGAAAUAUUUGGAUUCACUCUCAGCCUUUCAUCAAACAAAAGUGCAAUGGAAGACCGCUUCAACAUCUUUGAAUAUCCUGACCUAACACAAGUAUGCAUAUAAAAUCUUACUUGCAUCUUAUGUUUUGUCUUCUCAUACGAACAAUAUACUUUCCAACCACAUUUAACACCAUCAACACCAAUUUAUGACCACUUCGCAGCAACAACCAUAGAUUCAGACCCAUAAAGAGAAAUGGUAUACCAUGUCUUUAAAGAGUACAUCAAAAGAACACGCUUGAAGUCGUGUUUAUAUCCUCUUCACCGCGUAAACCACCAUUAUAAUCGUUAUCUCCACCACCAACCACAUCAUCAACGACAUUGCAGUCUUCAUCACCAUACACGGCGCAGUCUUCUUCAUUUUUCAGGGUCAGGCUCAAAUGUAGGUUCUUCAUCCUCCUCUUUUUAAUGUCUGACUCUUCUUCGUUUUUGUUUUCAAAGCCGCUUUGAAACUCGAGCUUUAACUACGAUAGAAGACUCUACUACGCCUACAGCCGGCAGAGCUAGAACUCCGUUAUCAAACUCUAAAACUGCUUCCGCUGGUGGAGCUCGAACAACAUCUUUGGUGUCAUCUUCGCCUCGUGGUGGAGCUUCAUCAUUGUCUAAUUUGCCUUCCAUUGAUACAAUCUAGGACUCCAAGGAUACAAAUUCAAGAUGAAAUCAAAUCAAAAUCGCGAUUUCGCCAAAGUAAGAAUUAGGGAUUUGGUUUUUGGAAAUUAGGGAUUUUGAAAUCAAAAUGGGAAUUUCUGUUUCAGUUUAUGAAACGACAUUGUUUUAGGCAUUAACAGAAAAAAUUAACGUCUGCUUACAGGGGUUAUCGGAUCUGUUAAUGCAAGUUAACGUCUCGGGGAUUUUGGUCAGGUCAACUUUAUGUUUUGUGUUAAAUGGCGGGUCAACGUCUUUAUCAUGUUUUAUUUGGCCGACCUAAAAGUUCACGUAUAAAAUGGCCACUUUUGAAAGUUCACGUAUAAAACGACAUUUUUCCCUUUUCAAAAACCUAAUUUAUUUCGCAUAAUUAUUGUUCGUUUUGAAAAGUAGGUUUUGAUUUAAUAUUAAAUUUAUUCGGGGAAAAAGAAUUAUACAUUUACAAGUAGGAAAAAUGGGUAAAAAAAACCUCACCUUUCCCAAAUACAUUUAAAAAAACCUCAACUUUUUGUAGGUUUUUAAACCCUCACCUUUUCAAAAAUGGUAAAAUAACAAUUAGCAUUAUUAAACCAAAUAAAUACAAAUUAAAUACUAAAUAAACUAUUAUAUUAAGACAUAAAAAACAACAUAAUUUAUAAUCUAUCUUUUCCAAAUUUGAGUUUAGGAUUUUUUUUCUUCUAGAAUUUAGUUGUUUUUUGUGAUAUAAAAAAUAAGUUUCAUUGCCAUUAGAAAUUGGUAUGUAAACUAAAACAAUUUAUAACAUAGCACAUUUUAUUUUAUUUGUGUUCAACUAUGUUCUAACCUUUGAAGUUUUGGAUUUAAAAUGGAUAAAAUUUAUUAACACAAAUUUGAUCUAAACUUGAGUGACCUAAUAUUUGUUCUAAACUUGUGUGAUCAAAACUUUAUUCUAAACUUAAGUGUCCAAACCAAAUAAAAUUUUAUUAAAUAUAUUUUAUAUUUAGUUAUUACAAAAUUAGUUUAGUUUUACGUUGAUGAAUUUCUUGAACUCAACCAAAUUAAUCUUGUUUCAGUUCACUGCAUAUGUAGAAGAAUAUAUAUCUAUAUAUAUAUACAUAUAUCAUACCUAAAAUAAAAUAAUUAUUUUUAUCCAAAAUUUAAUUAAACUUACACUCGAAACAAAAUAAAUAAACUUUGAAUAGACUUUGGAUAUGUUAUCUUCAGUAUGAAACCAAUUGUCUGAACCAAAUUUAAAUUGUUUUCACAUAAAACAUUUUACUAGAAGAAAAUAUUUAAGAGCUAUGUCUUUGGUUAGAUUAGAAUCGACAUAUUUCGUUUUCAAGAUUGUUUAGUGGUAGUUUGUUGUUUUGCGUCAAGUUUUUUUUAAUGUUUUCUUUUCCUAUUUUUGUCGGGUUCAUCUCUUGCUUUUGGACCGGUCAAUCUAUAACUUUUCACCUUUAUAAUAAUAGGUAAAGCGGUUGUGUGACUCUUUCAUUUUCCUCUACUCAAGUUUAAGACUAAAUCUGGUCAAAUUUUUAUUAGACUAGUUAUGAUGGUUUGUUAUAAACCAUUUCACAACUGUUGAAAAAAUUAUUUCCACUACAAUGGUUUAUUGUAAUCGAAAAGUAAGUGAGAUGGCAAAUUUAUCAACACUCAUGAGAGUAGAAGAAAGAAGAUAAGUGUGACAAGUGUUAUAUUUUGAUUGGUUGCUUUUUUUUUUUGGACAAAAGCUUGUUUUUAUUCAAUUAAGAGAGAAACAAGUACAAAGGAACAAGGAUUCUAAGAUCCCAAAGUUUAAAGGACAACAAAGGUAGGCAUUCCCAACACCAUAAGAAGAAAAGCUAACACACAAAUAAGGUACAUCAACAAUGGUUCCAUGAGAGCUAUAAUCCAAACACUUGAAGGGAAUUUGUUACUUUUAAGAUCAAGGAUUGUUGACAAAUCUUCCACGAACAAAGUAGUGGAUGAGAGUAUGGUUACUGUCAAAAGACUUAGUAACGUUAACAAGGGCGCCAAAGACAUGAAUCUCGUCGGGACGAGAAGUACUACACCAAGUAGUGCUUUUGCAAAGGUUCGAACAAGGUUUUGGUAAAGGAAGGAGGAUCGUCGAGGCUUAGAAAGAUUGAUGCGAGACCGUAACAGAACAGGUGGGUCCUCUCUCCCAAGAAGACCAAGGAGAUUAAGGAAUUCCACACAAAGCUUGUAGUCGGUUUGCCACAUGAAGAAAAGGCCAGACAUGAGGAAAUUGAGUAGAUAUCACUUUGAGGCACUAGUCAAUAGGGAGGGAUCUCUCACAAGAGAAUUGAGAAGUUCAUGUUGAAGCUUGAUCCAAACCCGGGGAGUAAUGGUGAAUGGGAGGUUCUUGAAGUUGGUCGAUAUAGUUGUCAGUAUGAAAUACUUUGAUAGAGAGUUUUGGUGACUAGCGUCACAUCUCCGACAGAUUGGACUAAGAAACACUAGACCAUGAAUCUUCAAAACGGAAUCAUAAAACAUUGCCCUAGCUAAACCUAGCACCAAGGUUCUCAGAUAAUAUUUGUAGGAGCAUAUCAACGAGGGUGAUUCGUCAUUCAAGUGGUGUCCCUAACCCCUCAAAAUAAAGAAACGAUGUCUACAUUGGGAUAGACUCGGCAAAUUGCAGAUGGAGGAAUACCUGGAUUUUUGUGAUAAUAGGUUUGGGUCGCAAUUUAUGGGCUUGGGCCGCGAGGGAAAUGGGCCAACAUUGGAGACAGGGCCCAUCAAAGAAAACCCUCGAUUCCAGAUUGUUGGGCAAGGAGCGUUGGGAGUGCGGCGGCUACGGUAGAGAGGUACGAAUUGCACAAUUGAAGCAGACGUCUCUGAUGUAAAUAGAGUUAGGGUGAACAAGCUGCAUGACGGGUCCGGCGCUGAGGCUAUAACAACGGCUAAUGGUUUGGCAAAAGAACGUCGGAGAAGCCUUAGGGAGCCGAAAGGUCCCGCAGAUCUAGUAACGAUGAGGAGGCGGAGACAAGGCUCAGGUUGGAAGGAUUGGUCGCCUAUGAAAUUGAAAGCUUCACAAACUGUUUUCUUUGAUUCGCAAGGUUUGGACAGAGAGUGUAGCUUGCUCGGAGGCCACAUUUUGCCUAUGUCGGAGAAUACUGCUUCAAAGAAGAUUCAACAGCAAAGAAGAACUCGAUAGAUUUGGAUUAAAAGGUUUGCAACAGAAGAAAACUAAAUUACAACGAAGAAGUAGAUGAAAGAUUGAGGAAAUAGCUCGAGAGAUGAGAGGGAGGUUCCGAUGCCGGCGAGCAUUUGCUCCACCGACGUCGGAAAGAUGAAGGGAGAUAGUUUCCUCGAUAUUAGUGUCUAUUAGCUCCACCGACGUUGAAAAGAUGAAGGGAGAUAGUUUCCUCGAUAUUAGUGUCUGGGAGAGAAACUCUUUAAAAUCUUAGUCUCGCAAAAAAUUUGAUUGGUUGCUUUGAUUUCUAUAUUUUUUUUCUUAAUUACAUAACUUUAAUUAUUUCAUAAUAUUUAUAAAUAAACAUAUCAAAAUUUACAAUUUUUCAUUCUCUAUAAAUAAACACUAUCUUCAUUUGAUUUGGACAAAACAAAAAUAAUCUUUCUUUAGAAAAAAAAAAGUUUAGUCUCCAAUAAACUUUUGUUUUAGCUUUAAAUAUACUUUUAUCUAAAUGGAUCCAAACAAUAACCUUUCAACACCCAAAACUUUUCUAAUUACUUUUAAACUAUCCAAAUCCCAACAAUUAUUAGUUGCAGGUGUGUCAGAAGGACAUUGAACGAGCAUUUGGAGUGUUGCAGGCUCUAUUUAAAAUUAUUCGCGAACCAGCUCGACUGUGGGACAUAGCCGAUUUGACUAUCAUCAUGAGGUCGUGUAUCAUAUUGCAUAAUAUGAUUGUUGAUGAUGAACGACAGACGUAUACUCAACAUUGGACUGAUUAUGAUCAAUCUAAGGCAAGUGGGCCGAGUACAUAACAACCAUUCUCGACCAAAGUGCUACUUGUAUUUGCAAAUCAUCUGCGUGGUAGAUCCAAGUUGCGUGAUUCAAAUGUACACCGCAAAUUGCAAGCAAAUCUAGUCAAACAUAUAUGGGCACAAUUUGGAAUUUUCCAUGGUGAAUGAGAUUUUUAAGUUUGUGAGUUGAGAUUAAUAUACUAAUUAAGUUACAAAUGUUUCCUUACUUGUUGUGUGCGUAUUGUAUUGCAUUUUAAAUCUAUGUUCAUUGUAUGUGUUUUAGUAAUGAUUAUUUUUAUUUCUAGUUUUUAUUAUUUAUAAAGUUUUUUUAAAAAAUAUAUACAAAUAUUAAAACAAAAACUAUUUUAUAAAAUUUAUUUAAUAUUUAAUUAUUUAAAUUUAAUUUAAUAUUAACGGUGAUUAAUAAUAUUUAAUCACAAAAAACAUAAACAUAAAUAAAAUGAAAAAUAUAAAAUAAAAAUUGUGGGAUAAGGUGUUGUAAUUUUAUCAAACAAAACUAUUGUAGAGGGAAAAAAUUAUGUAGGUGUGGAAUAACGAUGUGGAAGAGAGAGAAAACGAUGUGAAGUGUUAAAAGGGAAAAAAAGGGUGUUGUAAAUGGGUAACCAUUGUAGAUAGUCUUAGGAAGUGAAUGGUGACUUUAAGAUUUGCAGAUUUCGAAAGAAAAAGAAAAAAAUGCACUAAUGUCACCAAUCAGACAUAUGUGUGUAAUUUGUUUUUUUUUACAGAUAAUUUGGCACACACAUUUCAAAGCAUGUUAAUACACUAGGGAUAAAAGAAACACACUCUACUAUCGUCCAAGGGAUAUUUGGCAGCGCUUAACUAAAAACUUGCAUUACACAGUAAGUAAUAAAUCAAUUAUUUAAUUAAUAAUAAAAUGUACCUAUAAAUCAGAUCAUGUACUCUAAAACUAUUCACACAUUACAACCAAAAACAACAUCCUCUCAUAUUUCGCUCCAAUCCAAAAGAAAAAAAAAACAAUCUCCCACCCUUUCGUCAUAUAUUACAACAUUUAAAUGUAAAUUACUUUUACUAUACUAGUAUAAUAAUUACUUAUAACAAAAUAUUUCUAUGUAAUUAAGGUCUCUUUAUAAAUAAAUAGGACUGAAAUUAAGUAUAUAAAAUUGUUCAAAAUUUAGUAAAUCAUAAAAUGUUAUAUUUAUGUACAUAUUUAUAUGACUAUGUUUUAUUUUUAUAUUCAUAACAUCAGUAUUAAAUUUUAAUCAAAUCAUAGAAAUUUUUAAAUAUGUAUAAUAAAUGGUUGUGAUAGUAUUUACUAAUCAAGAUGUAUAUAUAUUUAUUAAAAAGAGAAAGGAAAAUUUUGAAGAUAUACAAAAUUACUAUUUUUUUAAAUUAUAGUUUAGUAUAUUUAUAUUAGAUGGUAAUAUGAUAUUAUGAAUUUUUUCAAAACUUAAUUAAAUCAAUUAAUUUAAUCAUAUCAAAAGUUACUUAAAUCAAUUCAUUUCCAUCAUUAUUAAAUUUUAAACAAAUCAUAGAAAAUUAAAAUAUGAAAAGAAAUGGUUGUGAUAGUACAAUAAAGUGAUUCCGAGUUCCCUUUGCCUCCGUCGGAGAAGUAUUAUCUAGUUGAUUAUGACUACCCAAACAAAUAAGGAUUUCUAGUUCCUUAUAGAUCGUCAGGAAAUCGAGUUGUGAGAUAUCAUAUGUCUCAAUUUUAUUUUGGUCCUCCUCCUAGAAACAAACAUGAACUAUUUAAUAUGUCAUGCAUCUUUACGUUCUGUUAUCGAGAGAACUUUUAGAGUUUCGGAAAAGAAAUGGAGGAAUCUUUUUCAUUUUCCUAGAUAUAAUAUUCAUAUUCAAAAAAGAGUGGUAAUGGUUAUAGUGUGAUUACAUAAUUUUAUCAGAAUUUCAAACUUCUCAGAUGUAGAUUUUCUUGAUGUAAUGACAGAGACAAAUAUAAACUACAGAGAUUAUGAUCAUCAUUUAGAUGACAUAGAAGCAACAGAGAUAACAAAUGGAGAACAUAUGAUGCCAAUAAAAGACAAUAUUGCAAAUAUGUUAUGGCAAAAUCAAAAUAAUAUAAAAUAUUUUUUAAUGUUUUUUAUGAUGAAAUUAGUUAAGGCAUGUAACAAUAUGUAUGUUACAAAAUUAAAUUUAUAUUUUGAUCAAUUUUUGUAUUAGUGGUUUAUAAAUAUCUGUUAUUGUUUAUUUAUUAACACAAAAAAUUAAUUAAUUAUUAAUAUAUAUAUAUAUAUAUAUAUAAUUUAUAAUUCGCACCGCAUGUAGUUUUUUCACCAAUCAAACAUUAUUUUGUACCGCUUAUUUUGAAUAAACCGUACUUAUCCCGCAAAUAUAUUUCUCCUACACGAACCGCAGUUUAACCGUACUACACUUCAAUAACGCUUUCCCCGCACUAUAAAAACCACGGUUACCAUUCGGACCCUUAGAGCUUGUUUAAAAAAUUGCUAGGCGUUAACCGGGCAUUCGGGGACUUAUCGAUAUUAGUUUUUAACAUUUUAAUAUUGAUAUAUACAUAUAAAUUAAAUAUCGGAAUAUAUGACAAUGGAAUUAAUUUGGUUGAGUGUCAUCUUUUUUUAUUUGGAAAUUGCACAAUCUAUACUCUGAGGAGUCGUUAUUUAGGUUCCCAAAAAAGCAACUGUUUGGCUGGUACUGUGGAUGUGGAAAUUGCGCAUGUAUGAAAAUAUAUUGUGUGAGACGGCUUCAUUAAAAUCUUAUUAGAUUAUUAUUGUUCUUCGCAUGUGGUUUUUGUUUUCUAUAUGUUUUUUAUUUAUUGAUUUAUGGGGAAACCAAUCAUCAUCAUCAUUUCCCUUCCAAUACGGAGAGCUUGGCAAUGCGAAAGAUUUGGAUGGCAAAUGUUUGGUAUAAAUUUUUCGACCCGUUAAUAUUAUAAUCUUGAUAUUAUUUUUGUUAACGUCAUUAAUCUUUUGCAGACGUAUGUGGAGCCUAUCAUUUUCCCUGACGUGGAGAUGAACCCGAAAGAAGAUUUAACCUGGUCUGACGAUGAGGAAGAUGUGAUGGGUUGAUAAUAUCGUCAUGUUAGUUGGUAAAGGGAUUACUUUUCAGCUCCCUCCAUUCUGAUUUGCCAACUCCUACAAAUGCUAAGGUUAGUUAACUGAUAUUUAUUUUAUAAUCGUUGUGUUUAGUAGUUUAGCAACUAAGUAUUAUAUGUGAGUAGCUAUAUUUUUUCUUUAUUUUUGUAGCUUUUUUGCCUCUGUUUCAGAGUUUUCAAUUAUCUCCAAGAUGUUGCAGGUAAACAAAUCUGUUGAGGUCCUUGAUCAUCGAGAUGAAGAACCGGUUUAUUUAUUUACACUCCAUUUUUGUUUAACUUUACUGUACAUUUUUGUUAACCCCCUCCAUAUUUUAUUAGCCGGUAAGAUUGUUAUCAUUCAUUUUCUUUUUAAUUAUUUUAUUCUGUCUUGCAGACCAAAAUCAAUCCUUCAAAAUUAACCACUACAGUCGAGGAAGAAAAGGAUUCUAAGGAGGUUAGAUAAUUCUUCCUUGUUUUUAACUUUCAUUUGGUUAAAUCCUUAACCGGUGAUAUAUUGCAUGUUUCAAUUUUAGGAUUUUACCACUCCACCCCUGUCAACCCAGUCUCGCUCUAACGUGAAGGUUAUCUUCUAACUAUGAUGUUAUCGCUUAUUGUUUAUAUUCAUCUUCCACGUUUGUAGGAUGUGGUGUGCCCUGCAAGUGUGUAUGCGGAUUAGCUGUUAAAAAAAAUAUUUCCAAGACGCAAGAAAAUUCGGGCUGCCCCUUCUUCCGCUGUGUAAGCAAAAGAGACGUGAGUUAUUUCCUCUCUAAAAACGAUGUUAUUAGCUUUUCUGGUAGCUACACGUUUUGCUAGUUAACCUAUCAUUCUUUUUGUAGGGACAUUUGUUUAAGUGGGUUGAGGAUGUUGUAUAUGAAGAAGUGGAAGAUGCAUUGGUUAGACUUGUAUCGAUUUAAAAUGAGGUAAAUGAUUAAAAGCGCAGGUCAUCCAGUUUUGUGUUGCUAUAAAAGAGUUGAAGGCAGAUUCAGUGUCCGACCAGUUGGUGAUGCUUAUGUUGAAAGUGGGCUUGCUUUUCAGAUUUGUCUUCUCUCUUUUUGUAGCUUUUGUUAUCGCAACACUUCUUAAAAUAGUCGAUAUUAAGUUCAUUAGUAGUUUUUAAUGUCUAUCUUUGUAAUGUUUCAUAGUUUCUAUAAUUCCCUAUGUUUAAGAUAUUAUAUUUGUUAGUCGUUAACCAUGUAAUAUAUACCUUGUAUCAAUCUUCUGUCUAUAUAAUAUUUUAUAACUUCUCAUUUAUUUCUUUAUUUUUGUACCAUUUGCACAUUCUUUAGGCGAUAUUUAUAACCAUUUUAAAACUUAUCUUUUAUUUUAAUUUUUUGGUAGCAUUUUCACAUUUAUUAAGCGAUAAUCUAAUUCUUAGCCAUCCAGCUGUGGUCCUAUCUUCUUAUUUUAGGACGCUAGUUAUCUUUUUUCUUAGUAUUGCAAAUUUUAAGAAGAGGGUCUAUAUCUUGGUACAUAUUUUGUUACAGAAUAUCAUUCAACAUAAACAUAUAUUUAACAUUCAGAAGGAAGGUUUGUUGGGAUCGUCCCUGAUUGCAGAUAAUACACAUUUUUUGGAUCAGUAAUUGUACGUAUAUACAUUGAAAAUUUUCUGAUCUCCGAAUUCUUGUUAUUUAUAAAACAUGACUUCUCGCGAGUCUUCUAAGCACGGAACCAUCCGUUCAAACCCUCCCAUAGUCCAAAAAAACAGUCCUCUCCUUCCAUCUUCAUCCGCAAAAAAAAAAUUUUCCUCGUCGCUUACUUGCCUCCAUGUACCACAUUAAUUUUUUGAUUAGCAGUCAUUUUUCUUUUUAAUCAGAUAACACCUACUUUAUCGACACUAGUUUCUUCAUACACCAUGGUAAAAGUUUUGUUAUCGGCUGCUUUUUCAAAAAAUGAUAAGGAGCUAUAUAUAUAGAUAGCAAACCAAAGAAAGUUGCCCUAACUACACACCUGAGACUUAAAUGCUCUAUGUUUCUAUCUUCUUUCAAUAUUUAUCGUUUGCAGUGGUUUAUAUGUUAGUUGUUUCAGUUCUUGUUGUUGCAGUAAUGUCGAUAUGGAGAUAAUAAAUAGGCAAACAUCUAUCUUCCAUAUCUGCACAAUCGAUUAUGUAUCAUAUGUAAUCAUUACUUUUUACAUUUUUUUAUUAGUUUGACCAGGGGGCGCAAUAUCUUCGAAGAUUACAGAGCAUUUAAUGCUCGUGAUCUUGCGGAAGGAGACUAGUGAUCCUCUGCUUGUAUAGGAACAAUUAUGUCAUAUUUAAUUUGCAAGAAAAUUUUCACCUAAAUAACGAAAUGAUAUGUAUAGAUCCUUAAUUAUUUUCUCCUGUAGGUAUAUAUAUUUCAUUCACUCUUUUUAGUUUAAUGAAAUAGUAAAUGACAAUAUUAUCCUCAUCUUAUUCUUUAGAUCUUAGCGACUGCAACCCUAAUUUUUGUCGUAUCGUUUUUCACAAUUCUUAUCAUUUUUUCUUACCCUUUAAUGAUUUAUACCCAAAUAUAAUAGAUCUACAACCUAAAGACCGAUUUAAAACUUGUAUUUCUUUUUAAAAAAUGAGUUUUUCUAAGAGUUUUCAAUUUUUUUUGGCGAUUUCAACAAAUCGAGGCGGUGGUGGUCUGAAGAGCGCUUAGUUGGACGAGUAAUCGGUUAGACGACCAAUUUUUAGAACAAGGGUCUUGACAAUCCACAAUGCAAGUGUUGAAUUAUUUAUUCAAUUGUUGAACCUUCACAUUGCACAUGUUGAAUAGUUUAAAAAAUCUUACGUGGAUUCAACUUGGUUGAAAGUAUUCAAUAUGUUAUAAAGAAAAAAUUUGGGCCCGCGCAUGCCACAUGUCAAUAAAUGAGUAAAGGAUGUGUUUCAAACUCGGAGAAAGGAGAGCGUAUUGUCCAAACCUUUUUCUUUUUACUUUUAUUUUUUUUUGCAAAAAGAAGAGAUUAUUGAGAUGCUCACACUUGCUAUAUUUUCAUUAGAUAUUAAGAUUUUGGAGAUUUUAUUUCUAUCUUAUUUAUUUACAAUCAAUUAUUACAUACCAAACAAUUUUUUUUUAAAAACUUAUAUUUAUAUGAAAAUUUAUAAAUUUUUAAACUCUAGAAAUAGAGACUUAGUUCAUUUUAUUUGGACACAUAAAAAAUAUUAUUUCUACCAUAAUUUUCUUAUUCUUCUCCCAUAAACUCUUGGUUAUAUCCUUUUUUUUUAUGGAUUCUAAUAAAAUCCCUAUGCAAAAUUAUACUAAUUUUUCCUUUCCCUAUCCUAAUUCCAACAAUAAUCCUACGCAAAAUUCGACUAAUUACGUUUUUCCUUAUCAAAAUCCCAACAAUUAUCAAUUUCAAAAUCUAUCUUUCAACCAACCUCAAAAUUUCCCAAAUUAUGAUUUUCUACCAAAUUUUUCUAUGCUCUCAUCUGUUCCAAACUAUAAUUCAUAUUAUAGAUCGAUUCCAAAUUCAUCUCAACCACCUCUUUAUGAUUUGAGGUUGUGAUUUUCAUUGACAUCAAAAAGAAAAAAAAAAAAAAUAUCACAGAAAGGAGACAAUGAAUAUGAUUAAUAUUUAAUUGGUAAACUAUUAGAUUAGGCGGGGGUUUUCUCAAAAAUUGUCUCUUUUGUAGGACUGUUGUCACCAAUAUUUUCAGUAUCUUUUACUUUUAUUAAUUUUUAAUAAAAUUUAUGAUAAUAAAAAAAAUGAAAAUAAUCGUAAAUAAAAGAAAAAAAGAGAGUUGUGGGUUCUUUCUUUUUAGUUACCCACGCAUCGCUGUCGAAAGAUUAAUUAUGAAAUCAGAUGUUUGGUUGAGUAUAAUAGUAAUGCAUGUCAUUAGUUUAAAUUUAUAAUAUUAAACAAAAUUAUAAAUAAGAUAUUUGAACAAAACAAAAUUAAGUUAGUUUAAACGUUAAUUGGAAACCAAAUAAGAGAUCUGUUAGGAAAAAAGAAAAUAUAUACCAAAUAAGAGAUACAGGAAAUCAGAAAUUUUAAUAUUAUGUGUUUGAAUCUUCUCACCAAAAAAAAUUAUGUGUUUGAAUCUUCUCACCAAAAAAAAUUAUGUGUUUGAAUCUAAUUGAUUAAUGGACACGGUCUAGUAAAUUAUAAUUUUUUUGACCCGCGAAAUAUAGUGAAACAGAGUUUAUCUCUAUACAACAAGACAAAAAAGAAGUUCUAAGAUCAAACUCUGUUUGAUAUACAAAAAUUAUAUUGUAAAUGAAAAUGGAACUUUGAGAUUGAUCUACAACAAGUCUGCUACACUCAUCACAAACGUAAUGUGAUUAUACACAUCCACGUUGGCCGCAAAAACUAAGGAUCUUGUAUCAUCUGGAUCAACAGACAAAAUCAUAUUGCAAUAGUCAGCAGCAUCACGUGCGAGACUAAGGUCGUCAUCAGUCUCAUCAACAUCACCAUUGCCCAUUGACCGCUGUGCCUUCAUUAGCCCCUCGACAACAGAAUCUUUAUAGUUCUCCAUACAACUCUUGAAACAUGGCUUCUUAGGAGAACCAAUGAGAAACUGUGUGUGCUCUGCCUUCUCCAUGGCUAGAGAAAGAGCCGCCUUAGCCAACUCUAAUACAGUCGAUGCGGAUUUCGUGCGAUGAUCUAACGUUAGGGAUUUGAUACAUUCUUCUUCUAGGGACGAGAAUGACGCGGUGCCUUUACAAGCCUUUGAUAUCAGUAAUGAUGGAUAUGGACAUGUCUUUGGUUUGGUUGAUAAAUGGGUAGCAAUGUUGGAUUUUGCAUUGGUAUAUGGCCACCGCGAGAGGAGAAGGAAGGUUAGGAUAUGGAUUGAUAGGUAUGCAUGAGAAGCAUAUAAACAAACCAUCGUUUUAUAUGUUCAACAAAGCUUGUUCUUUGACUAUAGGUUUAAAUGAAAUAGUAGAUUGAAGUUUGUACAUAUAUUAACUUUUGUUGUGUCAAUGGUUUAAAUUGUCCAUUGUUUAGUUCCACAAGUUUUAAACAUGAUAUGUUAUUUAUAGGUUUGGAAUGAACGAUAGAGGAAAAAUAAACUUGUCAACGCUAAUAAUAAAAGAGUGUAUCGAAAAAGAGAGAAAAAAACAAAAAUUCAUUGUGAUUCUUUUGUUAUUUUGUUUUUCAAUGAUUCAAUUCAAUGUCUUAAUUUCUCUCCUAACAUAAAAGUUAGUUAUGGGCAUUCGGUUAUCCAGUUUCGGUUCGUUUCCAUUCCGUUAUCGUUCUUUCGGUUCUAGAGUUUAGUAUCCAUUCAGUUAUUUUGAUAUUUCGGUUCGUUUCAGUUCUUACAGUUCUAAAAUUUAAUAUACAUUCGGUUAUUUUGCUUUGAGUAUUUUUGGAUAUUUCUGUUAUUUUUAUAUUUUUGAGUAUUUUUACUAUUUAUAUAUACUUUUUAGUAUUUUUAAUUAUUUAGUCUAGAAAUGACUAGUAUUUUUGAAAAUAUAAUUAUAUUUCGGAUACUUUUGGUUAUCCAAAAUAUUUCAGUUUGUAUCCACUCGAUUUCGGUUCUUUUGGUUAUAGAAUUUUAAUAUCCGUUAGGUUAUUUUCAAAUUUUCGGUUUUGCUCCGUUUUUUUACAUCGGUUGCGGUUCGGUACAUUAGGUUCGUUUUAUAUGCCCAAGCCUAAUAAAAAUCAUGUUCAUUUUGGUAUUUAUAGCUUUAGUAGACACAUGUUUAGUAAAACAAAUUCUCAAACAAGAAGAUUUAUGGAAUACCUUGUAAGACUACUUAGACUAGUUACAAUGGUUUGGUGGUGAAAAAAACAUUUCCACUACGAUGGUGUGCUGUAAUCAAAGCUAGGUGAUGUGGCAAAUUUAGUAUUGAUAAAUAUCAAUACCCGUGAAAGUAGAACAGAGAAGAUAAGUGUGACAAGUGUUAUAUUUUGAUUGGUUGCUUUGAUUUUUAUUUUUUUUGUUUCAUCUCAACUAUAUAACUUCAAUUAUUUUAUAAUAUUUGUACAUAAAAAUAUCAAAAUUUAUAUCAAAAUUUCUAAUUUUACAUUCUCUAUAAAUAGAGACUAUUUUCAUUUGAUUUGGAUACAGAAAAAAAAACUAUUUUUAGACCCAAAAAAGGUAUAAUCGCCAAAAAAAAAACUUUUGUUUUACCUUUAAAUAUCUUUUUAUCUAAGUGGAUCCAAACAAUAACCCUUUCAACACCCAAAACUCUUCUAAUUACCCUUUUAACUAUGCAAAUCCCAACAAUUAUCAGUUUCAAAAUCAAUCUCCUAACCAACCCCAACAAUUAUCAGUUUCAAAAUCAAUCUCCUAACCAACCCCAACAUAUAUCAAAUUAUGGUUAUCCACUAAAUUUCUUCAUGCCGUAAGCUGUUCCAAACUAUCGUCCAUUUCAUGGAUCGAUGAUGUCUUAUCCAUCUUAAACACCUCCUUAUUUUCCUACUCCAACAGGUAAUGAAACUGAUUCGAAUCUUGGAGCAACUGAUUUUCCCGAGUUUUCUACCCAAAUGGCUCUUGGUGGUAUUAGGGUAUUCAUGAAGCCAUUCCAGAUGCAAAGGAUUCAACUCCUUCUCGUCGGAGAAGUCCCAAAUGGACCACUGAUCAAAAUUUGGUUCUCCUGAGUGGGUGGAUUAAAUUUGGAAGAGACAGUAUUAUUGGCAAAAACUAAAAAUGUGAGUCAACUGGGGUAAAAUUGCUGAAUAUUGUAAUGAACAUUGCUCAUUUGAUCCUCCCCGUGAUGGAGAAGCAUUCAGAAAUCACUAUAAUUAUGUGAACAAAAGCGUGAACAAAUGGGCUGGCGCUUAUGAUAACGCUAAAUGUAUGCAACAAAGCGGGUGGUUGGAGGAUGAUGUAUUGGUAAAAGCGCAUGAAUUAUAUUCAAGUGCUGGUAAAAGAAGUUUCAAAUAGGAGGAAAUACUUAUUCUGGAAGCAGUGGAUCUAAAAGAGCCCACGAGAGUGAUGCUAGUGACUCAAACUCUGUAGGAUCUAGUGCUCGUCCAAUGGAAAGAGAUGCUGCUAAGAAAAAGCUAAAAAAAAAGGUAAAGGCGCAGCGUUGAAAGUGGUCAACGAAGAGUCGAACGAAUUUUAACAAUUCAAGGCACAAGAGUUGGAUAGGUUGGAGAAAAUAACUAUGAUGCACAGUGAAACAAACCAAUUGAUUAAGGAAAAGACUCAUGCUAAAAAGAUGAAGAUGUUUAUAGAGCUAACUGAAAAAGAGAAUCUCGAUGACAAGAGCAAAAAGCUAUUGCAACAAUUGAGCCACGAUCUAUUUGGAAAUUAAUUAUUGUCAAGUGGUUAUCUGUAUUUUGUCACUUCAUGCUUUAACGUGUGUUUGUCACUUUCUCCUUUAAUAAUUUGUAUUGUCAUGUUAUGCUUUAAUAAUGUGUGUUUGUCACUUUCUCCGUAAUUUGUAUUGUCUUCUAUGCUUUUUUUUUUUGUGCGAAAUAUUGUCUUAUAUGCUUUAUUAAUAUUAUCCAUGAUUUUAAAUAGAGAAUCUUAUCUUAUCCAUGACUUUUGGUUUGAAGCACUCAAUUCGAAUCCAAGGCACCAACAAUUUAAUUCGUUGUUUCCAUUUUUUUUAUAAAUUAGAACUCAUUCUUCCAUUGAUGUACAAACCAUAAAUCUUACCUUACUAAAAAUCUCAAUGGAUCCAUCAGAAUAUCCUUUUGACAUCAAAGCUUACAAGAGGCAGUCUGAAAUUGAAGAGAUGUAUAUCAUCAAUCGGUUUAGGGAGCGUCGAAACAAAAUAGGGGAAGACUAUCCACCUCGUAGCAAGAGAAAAUACUUUAAAAGAGACCAUGCAUCAGCAAAAUUAAAGAAUAUUGACGACUACUUUGCCAAUGAACCUAUAUAUGACGAUGCAAUGUUUCGUCGGUGAUUCCGGAUGAGAAAACAUAUUUUCUUUCGGAUCGUUGAAGACUUAUCAAACAGCGACAACUAUUUCACCCAACGAUAUGACGCAGCCAAGAAAGAAGGUAUAUCUCCAUUACCAAAAUAUACUACGACCAUGCGAAUGUUUGCAUAUGGUGUGGCAGCUGACGCGGUGGAUGAAUACAGUAAAAUUGGAGGUACUACUACUUUAGAGUGCUUGCGAAGAUUCUGUAAAGGAAUCAUAAAGCUGUAUGAGACAGAGUAUCUCAGAGCCCCAACUCAAGAUGACCUCCAAAGAAUUUUACGUGUUAGUGAGAUGCGAGGGUUUCCCGGGAUUAUUGGGAGUAUUAAUUGCAUGCAGUGGGAAUGGAAAACUUGUCCUACAGUGUGGGAAGGUCAAUUUACUCGAGGAGAUAAGGGAACCACCACUGUUAUUUCUGAAGCAGUUGCAUCUCAUGAUCUAUGGAUCUGGCAUGUUUUUUUGGAUGUCCGGGCACACUAAACGAUAUAAAUAUCCGUUCACCGGUGUUCGAUGAUGUUGAACAAGGAAAUACUACAAGAGUGAAUUUUUUUGUGAGCCAACAUCCGUAUAAUAUCGCUUACUAUCUAGCUGAUGGUAUUUAUCCUUCUUAUCCUACUUUCGUCAAAUCGAUUAGGCUACCUCAAAGUGAACCAGACAAGUUAUUUGUACAACGUCAAGAGGCGUGUCAUAAGGACAUCGAACGUGCAUUUGGAGUGCUGCAAGCUCGAUUUAAAAUCAUUCGUAAACCAGCUGGCCUGUGGGACAUAUUCGAGUUGGCUAUCAUCAUGAGAUCGUGUAUCAUAUUGCAUAAUAUGAUUGUUGAGGAUGAACGAGAGACAUAUGCUCAACACUGGACGGAUUAUGAUCAAUUUGAGGCAAGUGGGUCGAGUACACAACAACCAUUCUCGACCCAAGUGCUACUCCUAUUUGCAAAUCAUGUGCGUGAUAGAUCCAAAUUGCGUGAUUCAAAUGUACAUCACGAAUUGCAAGCAUAUCUAGUCAAACACAUAUGGGCACAAUUUAGAAUGUUCUUGUUGUCUGCUUAUUGUAUUUUUGUAUUUUAAAUUUGUGUUCAUUGUAUGUGUUUUAGUAAUAAUAAUUUUUUCUUCUCGUUUUAAUUAUUUGUAAAAGUUUUUAAAAAUAUUAUAUAAAAUAAAAACAAAUAUAAACACAACAAUACUUUAUAAAACUAUUUAAUGUUUAAUUCUUUUAAAUUUAAUUUGAUAUUAACGAUGGUUAAUAAUAUGUAAUCACAAAAAACAUAAACAUAAAUAAAAUGAAAAAUAUGGAAUAAAAAUGGUGGGGUAAGAUGUUGUAAUUUUACUAAACAAAAACUAUUGUAAAGAUAAAAAUUGGGUAGGUGUUGAAUAAUGAUGUGGAAGAAAGAGAAGAUGAUGUGGAGUGUUAAAAGUAAAAAAGUGGGUGUUGUAAAUGAGUAACCAUUGUGGAUAGUCUAAGGAUAAAAAUUGUAUAGGUGUUGAAUAAUGAUGUGGAAGAAAGAGGAGAUGAUGUGGAGUGUUAAAAGUAAAAAAGUGGGUGUUGUAAAUUAGUAACCAUUGUGGAUAGUCUUACAAUGGACACGUUGAAAAAAAUAUUUGAAUAUGGUGCAAUGGUUGUUUUAAUAAAUGUUGUAGAGGAUGUGGCAAAUUUGGUGAGUAGGGAAAAAUAUCGUUUAAUAUUCCAACUUUCAAAUUAUGGCCAUUUUAUACCUCAACUUUAUAUGUGACCAUUUUAAAUAUGAAGAUAUCGUUGACCAACCGUUUAAACCAUAAACAUUAGUUGACCAGGCUAAAAAAACUAACCGUUAUCACUCGUUAACAGAUUAUCUAACGUCCGUUAACAUCUCCAUUAGCUACCCCUAAACGACGUCGUUUUCAUAUUUUAAAAAUAAAUAACGAACGUAGGAUUCAAACUUGUAACCUAGAGAAAAACUAGAGACUUACUUAACACCCUCACCAACAGUAUUUUAUUGGUGAACUUUGAGAAACAUAUAUUUAUUAAAGUUUUCUCCUUCAACUUUAACCUACAAAACAAAACCAUCUCCAUAGCCGCCGCCUCCAAAUCCGUGUUCUCUCUCCAUUGAUUUUUUUAAUCUUAAUCAUAUAUUGUUUUUUGUUGAUUGAAAAAAAUUUGUAUUUGCUAAUUCAAUUCAUCUGGAACCUAUUUCUAUGAACACCAUUGAUGGAUUAGUCAAUUGAUAUGAAAUCAGUUACACAAACAGCACUAGUUCUUCGUCGUCUCACAUGCACCUUCGUUGUCUCACGUACACCUUGUGUAUAUGAUCUGUGAUUGCUCUUAAGCGGAUCUGAUGUAUUUAACGGCAUAAUAUAUAAUUAUGUGUUUCCGAAUAAUAAUUAUUAAACACUUUAUCUUAGUUGGUGUGGACAAGCAUAGGGAGCACUCGAAAGUUACGGGUUCGAAUCUUGAGUAAGUUAUUUCUUUUUAAAAUAUAAAAAUGACGUCGUUUAAGGGUAGCUAAUAGAUGUUAACGGACGUUAGAUAAUCUGUUAACGACUGAUAACAGAUAGUUUAUUUGGCCUGGUUAACGAAUGUUUAUGGUUUAAACGGUUGGUUAACGAUAUCUUCAUGUUUAAAAUGGCCACAUAUAAAAUUGUGGUAUAAAAUGGCCAUAAUUUGAAAGUUGGAGUAUUAAACGACAUUUUUCCUGUUGUAAUUUGUCAACACCGUGAAUUUUACUGGGUGGGGUUAUCUUUGUCUUGUGUUGUGUUUUCAUUGGUCACUAAAAUUUGACUUUUUCGUCCAAUAAUUUUUGAACUCAAUUAAAUUAUAAUAAACUUUUUUUUUUGUCAUCUGAUAAUUUAUUAAAGAAAAAAAUAAUAAAGUACAUAGUUAGAUCCAAAAGCCAAGUAGAACAGAAAGAGAAACAAAAUAAAAGAGAAACAACGAGAGAUACAAAAUGAAAUUUAAACUUUACUCUCCUCAAACACUUGAUUGUGAAACCAUGAAGGCUCUCCAAGUGCUAUGUAAGACUGAAACCUUCUUUCUUGAAUCACACUUCGAGAAAUGGAUCGCGCGAUCAGAUUUGCGUUUGUGGCAAUAUGACGGAAUGUACAAGAUUCAAAUGCACCAGCAAUCUCAUGGAUUUGUGCUAACCAAUUCCUGUAGAAAGGCCAUUUGGACGGCUGCAAAACGGCGUUAACUGCGGCUGGAUAUUCCAACUCUAUUAUCACCUUGGAGACGUGAAUAUCUUGAAAUGCUUUCAACGACCGUAGAAUGCAGCACAGCUCAGCCCCUGUUCGAUCUUGAAUUGGCGUAAACGCAUCUCGUGCAUGGUGUUUAGCUUGCCCUAUAUCUCUUACAAUUCAAGCUCCUCCACACAUCGAUUGUUUAUUUAUCCAAAAAGAAUUCAAAAUGCAUUUAAGAAUACCUUCUUGGGGUUUCCUCCAUUUGUUUCCAUCCAAAUUGGAGGUGAUUGCCGAGAGAAUACUGUUGAAGGCUACGUGUUCACCAUUUUCCAAUGCAUUGUGUCUUCAUACGCUUUUUGAACUAAAACAUGAAAAUUCCAUACCUUUACUUUGAAAACGGUAUGAUUACGAUUCUUCCAAAUUGCCCAUAGAACCCAUGGAAUUGAUAGUCGAGUUUGCUUUGGUAUGUGCUUGUCUUCGAUAACAUUCAAUAGAUGAGAGAAGUUUGCUAGUAAGGUUGUUGAAGAAAAACCUUGAUCCGAAGCUUGCACAAAAUGCUGAGAUUAAUAUGCUUAAAAGGAGAAUAUGGAAUCUAAAAUCUGAGCCACAAAUCAAGCUUUUCUGUUGGCGUGCUCUUUCUGGUGCUUUGGCUGUGGCAGAACGUUUAAGCUCACAGGGAAUACAACAUGACACAAAGUGCCAAAUUUGUGGUAUAGCUACAAAAACAAUAUGUCAUACUCUAUUCUCUUGUGACGUAUAGAAUAAGAAAAUGAUGAAUUUUGGUGUAAAUUAUUUAUGUAUCUAAUAGUAGUUAUUAAAAAAACCAUUGUAGUAUAUGAAAGUAAACUGAAUGUUGAAUGAUGAUGUGUAAGAGAGAGAAGAUGAUGUGUAGGUUGUUGUAAUUUUAAACCAAUGUAAAUAGUCUAAUAAAAAAAUAUUUGGGUUCACCCCACUCUUGUUCACCCUCUCUUAAUAAGCCAAUCAAAAUACAACAAAAUGCCAUGUCGUUUAAUAUUUAACAAUUAAAAUAUUUGGGUUCACCUCUAGGGUGGUUAAAGUUUAGAUUUUAUAAAUAAUUGAAAAUAUAUUUUGGUUGAGUUUAUAAAAUAGUGGUUAGAGUUUAAAUUUUAUAAAUAAACAAAAUUAUAUUUCGGUUUGGAUUGAUAAAAUAGUGGUUAGGUUUAGAUUUUGUAAUUAAACGAAAUUAUAUUUCGGUUUGGGUUGAUAAAAUAGUGAUUAGGUGUUAGAUUUUGUGAUUAAACUAAAUUAUAUUUUGGUUUUGGUUGAUAAAAUAGUGGUUAAAGUUUAGAUUUUGUGAUUAAACGAAAUUAUAUUUUAGUUUGGGCUGAUAAAAUAGUGGCUAGACUUUAGAUUUUGUAAUUUAAUUAAUUUAUUUUUUCAAUAUAUGAUAUGUCAAAUUCUAAUUGGUCAUUAAAAAAUGGUGAACCCAAGAAUUGUUCUUGUAAUAAUUAAACUUCUUAGAACAACAAAAAUUUACAAUAAAUUUAUAAAAGGAACAAUUAAAAAAAAAAAAAGGAGCAAAAAGCAUGAUAAAAGCUGAGAGAGGAAACUUAAAAAGCACACUUGUUUCCAAAACUAAAUAGGGUCAGUCCCAAAAUUGGAUUUGUAUAGUAACAAAUGAAUAACGGAAAAGAGAGUUUCAAGAUCUACGAACAACAGCAGUAGCGAAAUAAGGAUGAUGGGUGAACUCAAACGAUACCUUAAGCGAACGGUCUUGACAGAAAAGGUUCACAGCAACAAUAUUGCGUUCCGCGACUUUCUCUAAUCCCGUGACUUCAGCCAGCUUAUCAGGAUCGUUGGCGUAACCGACCUUUAUGUCCUUAGCGAUCUUUUGAGCAUCGUGAAAGUACUCAUACAUAGGAAGAUACUGCAGCAAAAGUAAAUAGAUACAACUUUACUUGCAUGUUCAAAACUCUUUCUAAUCGAACAUAGUAGAUUUAUACGUGUACACAUUCAUCACUAAAACAUUGUAAACAUUACCUAUGUUAUUAUUUGCUCAAUGAAGAUUGGGAUCUCAAUUUUCAUGUGUUUAUAUUUAUUAAUCAAGUUAUUGCUUUUAAGCAAAUAGUUAACUAAUAAAUCCUACAUAGAUAUAUUUUAAAUAAACUGUGAAUCCUAAAUUUUUCCGUAUUUUCCGAAUUACCUGAACCGAACUCAAGAUUUUGCGAUUUAUGGUAUUAAAGCAGAUAGUGAUUGUAGGUACCCGGACUACCUUUACAGUACUCGAUUCCCUAUCACCCAACCAAUUUUUUUAAGUGUAUGCUUCGGGUAGUAGAUUUAGAUAUACCUGAAAUAACCAUAUCCAACCCUUACCAGCUAUUACCUGACUCUAUACCCUAAAUGCACAUGCCUACUUCUACAAUUCAUUUGACCAAGUAAACAGGAUUAAGCACAAAAACAAAGUUGAAUAAAGCACACUUACGUCGAGACGAGCAUGGGAUGUGGAUUUUGAGAACGAUUCAUAUGCGUCAUAUUCUGGAAGGGAUGCCUUCUGAAGGAGUUCAAAAUGCUGUAUAAAUUUCUGCAUGUCAAGGAAAAUGGGUAGUUGAAGUCAUACACAGGAAGGGAUAAAACCACUCACCCAUUACUAAGGCUGAGGAUUUUUAUCUUACACAUUAAUUCAAUAACUAUGCAACAGAUAAAGAGACUUAUGCUUACCUCAUUUUCGGUAUUAAAAGGUCCUUGACUCUUUAAAGACAUUCCUUCAUUUCUCAAAGCUGCAAUCAUCUACGGGUAAAUACACAAGGUUUGGUCAGGUUUAGAGUACUUGAUAUCAGCAAUAGAAGGAGCUGGAAACCAAGAGAUUGAAGACAAAAUUACCACUGUGAGGCCUUGUGCAAGACAGGUCUGACAUUUGAGAAACAAUACCCAUAGACUAAUCCGAUCUUCCCGAGCCAUGUCCCUAGAAUACUCCUUAUUCCUCUUUGCUUUUCUUUCCUCUGAUCCAGAUGAAGGUAAAUGCAUUAUAAAAAGCUACAAAUACACACUAUGCAGUUAUGCCAAACCAAUUACUGUACAGAUGGUUCAUCUCCGAAACACUAGGACACAAAAUAAAAACAAAUGGAUAUAUGAAUGCUUACCAGUGUUCACAACGAUUAAGACCCUGAAACGUGCUCUUUCGGCAAGCUUCCAGAGUAUAAUAUACAUGUACCAGUAUACCAUGCAAUAUUCACUUGGCGAGUAGAGGUCUAGGUCAAAUCCCAGCAUGAGAAAGCGAAUUGCCACCCAAUUAAUUUGCUCUUCUAAUCCACCAUAUAUAUGGUUUAAAAUGAGUAGAGACUUAUCCUGAAAGGUACAUAAAUGCAAGUUAACACAAAAUUCAAUAUCUGCUUAUCAAUAGAGCCAAAAUUUUCCGAAAGAGAAAACAGAAGUUGUAGGAAUUUUGACUACUGGUUUGUUCAUGCUAACAAUGAAUAGACAGCCGUCAACUAGAUUCAGAUAGAGGUUUGAUUAAAUGGACCCAUAGUGAUGGUAGUAAACCUACCCCAUUUUUCGAACUGCGUGAUGUAUCUUGCUGCAUCAUUUGACCAACAGCAAUCCCCAUCUGCCAAAUACAGGAAAAUGUAUGAAUGAGAUCUUGACACAAAAACCCAAAUCAAUAUGCAAACAAUUUUAGGGUAAGCGAGCUUACAUAUAGUUAAGUAAAGAAUAAUACAGUUCCAACAAAGGCACAAAUGGUAUAACCUGCACAUGGAAUACGCUCCAGUCAUUUAAGAUUUUCCCAAGCUUACGCCUCUGCCAUGGGGUAUUAGCGCAUAGUAUUUUAAGUAGAUUAACCAUCAACUGCACCACAAAAUGAGAAUAGAGAUCAAACAGAGAUUUCUAAGAAAGGAGCCAGUUGAAUAAUUAUCUAACUUUUUCAGGAUCCAGAGGCUACCAAAACCACAAAACAUAGACAAGGCAUUCUCAUCAAAGUCCCCAUUAAAACAAAUAAUUUUUUGUUGUUUCAAUCUUCUUGAUGAUUGCAAAUUAGUUACAUCCACACAUGCUGAAAUUCUCUGAGAUUGGGGCUUAUACGCCAGACACCGAAUAUUGAACAAAACCAAUGAAAGAUUAUUCUUUUCAAGGUUUUACCAAGUUCCAAACUCUUUUCAAGGAAGAAUAAAGAGCUACCUCAUACACGUUUGUAGAAAAAAAUGUACCCAACGUAUUCUUUUAAUAUACUGUGUUUACCUGAUUAAGUUGAAGAAUGUACUCAUUCGUAUGGAGGCCAUGGUUCUUGGAGACAUCUAAUGCAAGAGAUCUGGCGCAAAUUGUCAAAAAGGUAUCACGGCCGUAAAGUUUCCCAUCUUGCACAAGGAGAAGCUGUAGAACAAGAUUAUUUAUUGAGUAUAAAAGGUAAAAGCAUUUUGCUAGCUUAAUACAUAAUUUAUUCACAAAUAUUGCUAAUAUCAUAACAAAAAUGGACAACCAUAUCAAUGCUUAACAGAAAUUUACAAUCAGAAUCAACCUCAACUACAAAUAUUGGAUCUAUAUUCUUAUAAGUCUUCAUAAGAAAGAAAAAUGAGAGUGUCAGCCACUACAUAUUCCAGUGUCAUCAUAAAUAAUAUCUAGAUAACAAUAAUAGUAAAGAGUCAACAAGAAGAAUAAGCAGAGCAUUCAACAGGCCUGUUGGCGAAAUGGGGCUUGAGGUGGUUCACGAGAGUUGGAUAUUCUCUAGUCCAUUGGUUCUAAGUUUAUGCAACUGUUCUUACAGAAAUAAAGGAGAUUUCUACUAUAGUCAUAUGGCUGAAUCACUCAACUCUAAGUGACAAUGAAUUGAAAAUGAGUGCUAAUGAACACAAAACUGCAAAGCAAGGAAGCGGGUAAAAGAAGAAGCCAUAUUAUCCACUAUACAAACACACCCUAGUGGAUGUAUGCGAACAUCAGUGCAACUACAGCCAAAAUAGUUACUCAAAACAAGAAAACAAAAUGAUAAAUGGGUAUCUGAAAGCACAGAGCUGCAUGAUAUUGAUGCGUUAAGUUAAAGUAACGCACCUGAAGAUGAGCCCUAGCAACCAAAUCAGGACGAGAUUUUUGAAACUGAAUCACAAACUCCAAGACGGCCUCUAAAUCUGGUUCCAAUGAAAAUGCACAGAUCUUAUCCAGAUUGUGAAGAAGUUUCACAUAAUAGUCAAUAGCCUGGAGAAUCAAAAAUUGAAAAAAGUUACUAAAAAGUUAUAUACACACAAACUAAAUUACGUAUACAGAGAAUUUAGAAGUCCCAACCUUUUUCCAAGAAAGAAGUUUAAUGGCACGUGGCGGCGUUGGAGCUGAUAAUCUUUUGUUUAAAGUAGGAUCAAAUCCAAUGGGGGACCGACCAGAAGCAGUUGUACUUUCUUCUAUCUCGUUUACGCCAUUCUCGAAAAUAUCUAAUCUUAGAAAUUCUGCUGAAUCCAGAACAGAAUCUAGCUCUGAUAUGCAAUAGCCUAUAUGUUUCCUUGCCAAUUCGAGGCCACGUCCUUGUGGUCGUCUCAUACAAUUAAGAGCAUGUAGAAAAUGCUGAAAGUUAUUGAGGAUAUGUUAAAACAACUAGCAGUGCAAAAGUAUAUAACAGCUACUAUUUUUUUUUUUAAAAUGGCUUACGAAACAAAAUAAUAAUAACAUCAUGAAUCACAUGUCUGGCGAGAAUUUUUAACCAAAAAUAAGGGUAAACAGGUAAUAAAAGCUGCCAUAUACUCAAAAUUUAGUCUCUGCUAAGCUUGUUCAUUCUUGUAAGUUGCAUAACAUGGAAAAUUUAACACAAUAAAACAUAUAUUAACUUUGUCUACCACUCCCCAUUGUGAGGUUAGGUUGAAGAAAAGCAACUCAUCAUACUCUUGUUACGUGUAGUUUAUCAAAGAAAGAAUAAAUAAAGCAUGAGACCUUACGGAACACUGGAUAAAAGACCAAAUGCAAAUUUUAAGUACUAAUUGUAGUUUUUCUUUUUCAAAGCAAGCAAUAAAAAAUUCUAUUCAUCGAUGGCCACCAGAAUACUAAUAAAAGGAACAGACUUGGGACUAUAUUAUACACUAGUUAACAUGACUUAAGUUGGGAAAACCUGUAAUUAACAACAUUUAUCAAAGAAAGAAUAAAUAAAGCAUGAGACCUUACGGAAACGUAUCCGGCAUAACAGAGAUUUGCAAAAACUCUCUUCCAGAUGGGGAUUACUUUGUAGAGGUUCCAAUUCUGCAUCUUUAACAAACAAAAGGAAAGAAAGUUAUUGUUCUCAGUUCGUGCUGCUGUGCACCAUUGUUACAAAUAAACAAUAGACCAUAUCACUCAAAGAGAUGGUAAAUUUUUAAAAAGAAAAAAUCAAUUGUAAUAAUCAGCGGACUUCACAUAUAAAUCAUUACUCAAUAGAAGACUCAAAGUUAUCGUAUAUAGGCCAGAGAGGCUAAUUUCAAGUUGGUAUAUGCUUAGAGAGCACUUGCAAAAUAUCUAAUUCCAAUGCAUUAUACUGUCUCCAAAUCACAAAUCACCAUUAAAUGUGUAAACAACAUAUCAUAAGAAAAGAAGCAACAGAAGACUCUUCGAUCCCCUCAUAUGAAUACGCUCUUCAUAUUUCAAUUCUGCAAGUGUGUGUAUGUAAAAUAAAAAAGGAAGAUAUGCAAAGCAAAAAAAGUACCUUCCAACAUUCUCCUUCUUGUGGCCUUACAAGCACGCAGCUGACGACAGAUAGUUUCUUCAACCGCAUUCAAGAGUAACAAGCCCUUGGCAUCUUCUUCUCCACUAAAAGGAAGACCAUAUGUCAUCGUAAAAAGAUCCUCUUCCUGUUAAUGAGCAGGUAUCAGGUGAAUCAUUCAGAGUAAACUAUCCAUGAAGCAGGGGCAUCUGUCUAGUUAAGAGAAACUUCUAUCCAAAAUAUCACAACAAAUCUUCUCAAGUAUUUUAUCUUCAUUUAGCUGCAUAAUGGUGGAAAUUUCUACAGAAAUAAGUUAUACGCUCUGCUAAUCAUCUCAAGAUUAAAUAACAACUGCUUAGGCUAGAUGAGAACGGAUGCCAAGACUUCAUUAGAAGAGUAAAGUCAAGUGAAUCCAGUUUUCGUCUCUGAUGUCAUAAGCUUAAGGUUAAUGACAACUAUGAAAUGUCAAAAUGGGUUAGCAACUGUUUUUCUUUACGCCAUAAAAGAAUGUUGGACAUAGCAAAAGAUUUUAGGAGCAAACAUUGAACACAAACUAAACCUUUAAUGAAAAGCCAAAAAACAUACAGAAACAUUUGCUUAGCCCCACAAGAAUAAAAGAGGACCAAAAAUUGUAAAAGUUAAUUACUUCAUUUGUACGCGCAUCUGAAACAACAGAAACAACUGCCCUGCAAGUUGCUCGGAUGACCCUACAAUAAGAAUGUAAUAGAGCCUGUGAAGAUGUCCUCUCAGGCCUCAGAACAUAGAUGCAUGAAAACACAGUUUGGGCCAAUGAAUGACCCAUGUGCCAUGUUGCCUGCAAAAGAGUAGAGACACAAAAUGUGGAUAAAUCAACUCCAAGGCUGACAUGUUAGCUACAUACAUAUCUCUUUAUCACAAUUAUACCUUGCAAACUCACACAGUAUUAUAUGAGCACAUGUAAAGAAGAGAUUACCUCACACGCCAGGAGAUGGUCCAUAAUGUCAAUGAUGGAUUGCACAUUAACAGUACUAUCCGAACUUAUAGGGACGGGCGCAAAACCACUUUCGAUGGCUUCAUCUAUAGAAUAAAACGUAGACACCAUACCAGAAUCCAUCUUUGGGUCCAUUAUCUAGUACAAAGCAAGGACACCACACCAUGUUUGUUAUACACACUUAUAGCAACCUCACAAUCUAAGUUUACAGCUAAGAACAGUCCAAACAUAUUUUGUUACAAAAUAGAAACCUCUAAAGCAGACAUGGCAGCAAAAAGAUUGAAAUUAUCUCCAUUUAUGAGUUCACCUUCUUGAAGAUCUGCAAACAGAACGACUCAUGAAACUAAAACAAGUGGGGAAUACAAGCAAAAUAGGCAAUUGCGAUCAGUACCAGAGCAGGCGGCGGAGAGGAGAGGUGAUACAUCGGCCCAGACGGAGUUAUUAUCACCGGAAGGGAUAGAAGAAGAGGUUUUAGAGUCGUGAUGAAUCGGAGAAGACGAAUCUUCAUCUUCCCUAACUGAUUGCAUCGUUUGUUGUUGUUGUUGCUCAGGAAACUUGAAAAUCGCUUUAAUCUCUCGUAAUUGGUUUUUUUUGCUACUUAUGGUAUAAGUUUCGUCUUGCUCGAUGGAACACUUUGCCUGGGCUGUUUAGGGUAAUUUUCGGGUCGGAUCCUCAGCGGAUACCCAACCCCCAAUCACCCGAGCCUCCUGCCGUCUUUUUUUUAUAAAUCAACCUUUAAAACCAACAAAAAGAUUUUCAAAAUUUUAAAUCUAUAGUUUUAUGGGUGAAUUUGCGGUAUAAUCAAAAUCUAAUGUAAAAUAAAAAAUAUAAAAUCUUAUUGAAAAAUAUUAAGAAAGUAAUUAGAUUAGUGAAAAGAUAAAAUUGUAUAGUGAAAGACACGCACAAUAAAAAAAAAGAAGAGGUUUUGAAUGUUUUGUAGAUUUUGUAAGAGUUUUUGGUUUUUGUUUUUUAAAAACUUAUUUUUAUACCAAUUAAGAUUUUAAAAUUUUGGUUUCCCUACAAUUUAGUAAAUUUAUUUUAUUGUAGUUUUCCAUUCAUGAUUUUAGUUUUUUAGUUUUCCUAAAAUUUAGGAAAUCUAGUUUUUAUUCAAUCAACGUUAUUUUUCUCAAAAACCAAAAACCGAUUUUUUGGGGUUUUUAAAACAAAAAUAUAAUAACAAAAAUCUAAAACUAAAAUCUAAAAUCUAUAAACUAAAAUCUAAACUCAAAAACUGAAUCAAAAAUCAGCAUCCAUUCAGAGCUAGAGUAUAUGAUGAUAUAUGUAAAAAAGUAGAGAGAAUAAUAAAGAGGAAUUGCAAAACUAACACAUUUUUACUAAAAUAUUAAGAAUAUAACAUUAUAUAUGUAUCAGUUAACUAACUAACCUAAAUGGUAGAUUAAAUGAUCAUAGGUGGUGGUUUGGAUCCGGCGACGGCGGUGGCUCCGGCGGCGGCGGUGGCUCCGGCGACGGCAGUGGCUCCGGCGACGGCGGUGGCUCCGGCGACGGCGGUGGCUCCAGGGACAGCGAUGGCUCCGGUGACAGUUCUGGUGGUGGCUCCGGCGAUAGCGGUGGCUUCGGCGAUAAUUCCGACAAUAACAGUGUCUCCAGCGAUAGUUCCGGCGGUGGUUCCAGGGACGGUGGAGGCUCCGGUGACAAUGGGAACACCGACGAUGGGGUGGUUGCUCUGGUGAUGUCAUUCGUUCUCGUAACGGGGGUAGCUCCGACGGCGACGGUGGUGUUGAUGACGGUGGCUGUGGCGGCGGUAGUGGGUGUAGUGAUGAUUGUUGUGGUGGUGGUUAAUGGUGAUUAUUGUGAUGGCGAAAUUAUAAUAUAAUAUAUUAUACAGUUAUUAUAGUGUAAAUUUUUUCUAAUAGGCUAGUUUCUUAAUUUGUAAUUUUUUUUAAGUUAUACAUGCAAAUUCCCAAAAUACUAAUGACAUGGCUAAAUUAAUAUCACCCCAAAUAAUUUUGCUUGUUGAUUUAGUCUUAUAAAUUUUGCAAUAAUUUUAUAAGAACAUAGAUUUUUUUGAGUAUAACAUGAUUUAAAUUUUUAAAAUCUAAUACAAAUUAUUUAAAUUAGGGAACAAUGUUUGUCUAAACCACACAAAUAAAAUAGUAUAGAACAAAACGUAGAUAAUUCAAAAGGCCGAGUUAAACCGCUCUAAUAAAAAAAAUACUAUCCCUAUGAGAUACAAUAUUGGCAAUCCAAGUAACUAAGGUAAACUAUAGCGGUGAGCCGGUGACGUUGACGAUGGUAAUAGUGGUGGUGGCAACGAUGAUGGUAGUGGUGGCAGUGGCACUAAAAAUGACAUUGAUGGUGGUAAUAUUAAUUGUUAGUGGUGACAUGAUGAUGGUAGCGGCAAUGACGGUAGUGGCGGUGGGAUGGUAGUGUAGUAAUAAUUGUUACUUGUUAGUAAUGGUAAUUAUAAACUAGUUUUUUAUUUUAUUUUAUUUUAAUAUAAAAAUAUAUAUAGAAGAUGAGAUUACUAGCUAGAGAGAAAGGGAGAAAGAAAAAUCCACAUGUAUUGAUAAAUAAAUAACCAGAGCAAAAUACUAAUAAUUUACAAACUCCCAAAUAUUGUGUUAUAAAUAGGUUUAGUGUUUUCAAUGGGUUGCAAAUAAAAGAGUCAAAUAGGUAGAAGAGACCUUUGGGGAAACUAUAAAAUUUAGCAUUCGUGGUAGAUGAAGAAGGGAGAAUCUAAUGAAAGAAUCAGCAUGAAAUGCAACAGAGGAGGGGAAAAAAGAAGGUGUAUGUAGUGUAGAGGGCAAAGUUAUCAUUAAUACAAAAAAUACAUAAUAUAUCAACCUUUUUUUUGUUUGAUGUUAGUUUUUUAAUUUAUAAUUUUUUGUUGGUUAUUUAUGCAAAUUUCCCUAGUUUUAUUUAAUCACCAUCUUAUUAUAUAAAGUACCAUUUUGAAAGUUACUAACUCACAUAAUGGUGUCACGUGUCAAGUCUAAUAAUCAGAUAUUUACAUAUGUCAUUAAAGAUUUACCUUUUUAUUCUCUUAUAAAAAUAAAAAAACCUAAAAAAGUAAACAAAUUUACAUAUACUAAUUUUUAUAUCUAUAUAUAUGUAUAUAAUAUUUUGAUUAACCAAUAGGAAAAUUAACAAAAAAAAAUUUUGGUAGGGUGAGGGGGACCAACCCUUCAUUUAUUAUAGAAAAAAAAAUAGAAAAUUACAUACGAACAUUAACAAAUUUGCUUUUACAUGUGAUAUUGGUCAAUUAAAUAAAUCUAGCAUGCAUUAACUAAUUAAAAAGACCAUCGAAAUAUUGAUUUUUCCCGCCUAAAAUAUUACAAAAAUAAAUUUCCCGCAAAAAACAUUUCAAAAAAAAAGUCCGCCCAAAGUUUUUUUCCAAAAAUAUUUUUCCUACAAAAACCUUUUUGGCGGGAAAAAGAUUUACAAUGGGUUUUAAAAGAUUUUUAAAGGCUUUACAAGAGUUUUAAAUGAUUUACAAGUGUUUUUGAAAGAUUUUUAUAUGGUUAACAAGGGUUUUAAAGGAUUUUAAAAAAGAUUUAAAACCCUUUAAAAACUUUUGUAAAUCUUUUUAAAAUAUUUUGUAAGGGUUCAAAAGAUUUUUAAAAUGGUUCAAAAUUAUGAAAGGGUUUACAAGGGUUUUUGAAAAGAUUUUUAAAUGGUUUACAAGGGUUUUAAAGGAUUUACAAGGUGUUUUAAAAGAUUUUUAAAAGAUUUACAAGGGUUUUAAAAUCCGUUAAAAACACUUGUAAAUCUUUUUAAACCCUUUUAUAAGGGUUCAUAAGAGUUUUAAAAUGGUUCAGAAAGAGUUACAAAUGUUUUAAAAUAAUUACAAAUUAUUUUAAAUCUUUAACAAAAUGAUUUAAAGACUUUAUAAGAGGUUUAAAAAGAUUUUAAAAAGAUUUACAAAGGUUUUAAAAAUCCUUGUAAAUUGUUUGAAAACCAUUGUAAAAGGUUUUAAAAUGAUUUAAAAAAGGGUUUAAAAGGGGUUUAAAAGUAUUAACAUAUGUAUUUAAAGACUUUAUAAAGAUUUUAAUAGGUUUAAAAAUGAUUCACAAGAGUUUUUUUAACAACUUUACAGAGCUUUUUAAAAACUUUACAAGGUUUUCUUAAGAGUUUUUAAAGGGUUCUUAAAAAUUUUACAAGGAUUUUUAAAUUCUUUUUUUUGUAGGGAAACAAUUUUGAGGAGAAUAUUUUUUUUGGCAAGGAAAAAGUUUACAAGGAUUUUUGACGAGAAUAUCUUUUUGGCGGGGAAAAUAAAUUUUGGUGCAAAACAUUUUUGGCGGAAAAAUUUCAGUUUCUAAUUAUAUGUUCUUACUAGAUUUUAACCCGCGGUGUACCGCGGGACUAUUUAUUUUAUUAAAAAUAACUAAAAAUAUAUUAUUUUAUAAAUUAUCUGUAUGUAACAUAUUGUUUGUAUUUUAUAAAUAUAUAAUCCUAAUUUCUAUAUAUUGUACAAUCCCUUGAUUUUAUCAUGGAGUACACCGUAAGUCGAUUUUUAAAAUUUAAAAUUUAAAAUUAUAUAUGAUUUUUGUUAAGAUUGUUUCUUUUGUCAUAUAUUUUAAAUUAUAUCAUUGUAUUUUAAUUGUUAGUUAUAGGAUUUCACCCGUUGUAUAACGUGUCGUAUUACUAUAAACUCAAACCCGUCUUACCAUCUAAUUCCGUUCAAUGAAAUUAAACAUAUUUAAUGGAUUUCAUCCUAGGUAUAUUGUCUCAUAUUACUAUCGACCCAAACCCGUCCUACCAACUAACCCCGUUCAAUAAAAUGAAAUAUUAUUUUAUUAUUUUUGUUUUAAUAAUACUUUAAUUUGAAAUAUAUAUAAUUCAAAUCAAUUUCAAACUUUUUAUUUUAAAUGGUUAUUUAAUUGUUAUAAUUUAUAAAGUUCAUAUAUUUUAAUAUUCUAAACUCGUCAUACCAUCUAAUCCCGUUCGGUGAAAUUAAACAUUAUUUUUUAAUUUUUUUGCUUAAAUAAUAUUUUUAUUAACAGAUUUAUAAUUCAAAUAAAUUUAAAAGGUGUCGUUCAAAUAGUUAUUUGAUUUUUUAUAGAUUUCACAUCUAAAAUAUUUCUCUAUAUGUAACAUAUAGUUUUGUAUUUUAGAAAUAUUAUAAACGUUUUUUCCUUAAAUAUUAUAAACGUUUUAAAAACUUUAAAUAAUUACAAUAUUUACCUUUUAAUAAAGUAUAAUAUUAAUAAUCAUUUAAAUAAUUAUGUGUAGCUAAUUUUAAGGGAUUUGAUUUAAAGCUUGUUGUUUGGAUUAAAUUUGAAUGAAUAAUGUGAUUGAUAUAUUAAAUCAAGAAUUAAAAAUCAAAUCAAAUAAUUAAGGAAAAAAGAAUUAAUGCCAAUGGCAUGCCAUUGUAAAUAAGUGUCAAGUAGAGGAUUUAUUUGCUAAAAUAUAAUUUUAGUUUUUUAAAAAUUAACUGAAAAUAUAUUAUAUUAAUUUGUAUUUUUAAAUAUAGAUAUCAAUCUCUGUAUUAUUUAGUAUAUGAUUACUAUUAUUUAGGUUUCAAUUUUUGAAGUAUAGAUACGAAAAUACAUAUUUUUUUAAGUAACGAUGUAUGGUGAAUUUUAAAUUUUUAAUAUUUUAUCCAUAAUAUACCGUGGGUCGAUUUUUUAUAGCUAAAUUUUUAAAUUUCAAGUUAUAAUCGUUUUGUUAAUAUUGUAUGAUUUUUUGUGUUUAAGGUUGUAUAAUUGUAUUUUAAUUGUAAAUUUUAAGAUUUCAUCAAUGAUAUACCUUUCUUUAUUAAUAUCGAUCAAAACCCGUCAUCCAAUAUAAACCCGUCUAUAUUAUCUCGUUAGCUAAAUAUUAGUAUUAUAAAAUCCAAGAAAAUAAAUUAUUAUUGUUAGAAAUACAAUAAUUUUAGGAUCUCACCCGUGUUAUACUGUUUUUGAAUGAUUUUAAAUUUCUACUACUAAUAUAGAUUUUAAAUUUGUCAUAUAAAGUAUAUGAUUUUAACUUUUUGUAUUUUUUUAUUUAAAUAAAGCAACGGCUUAAAUGAUGAUAGAUAUAGUUCUUUUUUUGUAUGUGUAUAUGAUUUUUAUGUGAAUAUUUUCAUUAUUAUAAAUUAGUAUUUUUAUUGUUAUGCAAAAUGUUAAUAUAAAUAUUUUCUAUAAAUCGGAUUUAUGCAUAUUUUAUGGAGUAAAAUUCACAGAAUUUUGUUUUUGAAGAUAUAUGGAAAGAUUGUGUAGAGAUUUUUAGAAAUAAAUUAGGCAAGAUAUCGUUUGGUUAAUAUCUUUUAAAAUUUUGUAAAACUAAAUAAUAAAUGCUAGUGACAGCCGUUGUAAAUAAGUCUGAACUCCAGGAUUUAUUUCACAAAAUGGUUGCAAAAAUGUAUAUGUAGAUUAGAUGAGGAUAAUUUGUUCAUUUUGUUCAAAAAAAAAAGGGAGAUUUGCAAAACUACCAUUUUUUACUACCCUUUUGCAACAAUACCCUUUUAUAUUGUUCAUUUUUAAAAAUAUCCCUUCUCUUGAACAGAAUGACCAAAUUACCCUCAUCUAAUAAGAACAUGUAAUUGGAAACUGAAAAUUUCCCGCCAAUAUUUAUUUUUCCCGCCAAAAAAAAAUUUCCGCCAAACUUUAUUUCCCGCCAAAAUUUUUUCUCGUAAAAUUUUUUUCCCAGCCAAAAUAAUGCUUUUAAAAAUCCUUAUAAAUUUUCUUAAAACUCUUUUAAAAAACCUUGUAAAGUUUUUUAAAAGCUUUGGUAGUUGCUAAAAACCCUUGUAAAUCAUUUUAAAACCUCUUAAAAUCUUUAUAAAGUCUUUAAAAACAUAGGUAAAUACUUUAAAACACCUUUUUAAACCUUUGUAAAUCAUUUCAAAAUUUCCACAAUAGUUUUACAAGAUUUACAAUCAUUUUUUAGCAUAAGUAAGUGGCAUUGAAUGAUUUACAAGGGAUUUUAAAAGCUUAUAAAAGGGUAAAACAUGAUUUACAAUCGUUUUUAAAGCAUAAGUAAGUGGCAUAUAAUGAUUUACAAGGAUUUUUAAAAAGGGUUAGCAUGGUUUACAAUAUUUUUUUAAGCAUAAGUAAGUGGCAUUGGAAUUAUUUACAAGGGAUUUUAAAAGCUUAUAAAAGGGUAAAACAUGAUUUACAAUCGUUUUUAAAGCAUAACUAAGUGGCAUAGAAUGAUUUACAAGGAAUUUUAAAAGUGUUUGUAUGGUUUACAAUCGUUUUAAAGCAUAAGUAAAUGGCAUUGAUUGAUUUACAAGAGAUUUUAAAAGGGGUUAACAUGAUUUACAAUCGUUUUAAAGCAUAAAUAAGUGUCAAAGAAUGAUUUACAAGGGAUUUUAAAAAAGGUUUGCAUGGUUUACAAUCGUUUUUAAAGGAUAAGUAAGUGUUAUAGAAUGAUUUACAAGGAUUUUAAAAGCUUAUAAAAGGGUAAAACAUAAUUUACAAGAGUUUUUUUAAAGAGUUUUAAAAGGAUUUACAAGGAUUUUAAACCUUUGUAAAUCCUUUUAAAACUCUUAUAAAGUCUUUACAAGUAUUUUUUAACUCUUAGAAAAAGAAUUGUAAGUAUUUAAAACAUUUACAACUCUUUUAAACCAUUUUAAAACUCUUGUGAAUCUUUACAAAAGGUUUUAAAAAGACUAGAUGAAUUCCUACGCUAUGCGAGGGUUUGUUUUGAAAAUUGUUUAGAUAAAAAUAUGUUAAUUAUUUUUGUUGCUAAUUUCUGUUUAUUUUUUGUUUGUUAUUUUAUAAUUAGUAAAAUUAGACUCAUCUUAUGUACUUGCAUUUUUUAUUGUUAGGUUCAUUUUUGACUCUAAAAUAUCAAUUUCUAUAUGUUUUCAUGUAUAAUCUGAUUAUUUUUAUAACCAAGAUUCUAAAAUUUGUUUAUUAUCAUGAAUAUACACAACAAGAAUAAAAGAUGUUUUUAUUUCAAGAGUUUUCAUAUGAAAAAAAAGAAGCAAAAAUUAAAGAGUUAUUUUAGUAACACUUUUUAGAUUUAUGCUAUUGCAUAUAGCCAUAUAAGACAAAUGGAUUUGUUUUGAAUUUCGUGGUAUGUCUAACGUCUCAAAAAUCUAUUACUUGAAAAUGUUUAAUGUCAAUGUUACGAACUUACCAUAAGAUACAAAAAUAAAAAGACAGAAUUUCAUAUGAUAAGAUAUGAACCAUAACGUAAUAAUAAUAAAAAAAUCAAGGUAAAAUAAUUAAACUAAUAUUAGGUAGCAAACAACUAAAGUACAACACAAAUAACUAUUUAGUCAUUAUAGAGUGAUGACCAUUGACCAUUAAGUUUUUUUAAAAAUAUGAAAUAAUAAAGUAAAAUAAAAGUAGUAAUUGAUUUAUUUAAAUAAAUAAUUUUAUAAAUUUUUUAUUUUGAAUAAAAUUAUUUAAGAAAUGAACUAAUGGAGGAUUUAACACAAUAUGAGACUUUUGAUUUUCUCUCAAUUAAUUUUGCUGAUUUUUAAUUUAAUCAAUGUUAAUUGACACAUGUCAUUUUCUUGUGUGAUGAUGUGUCACCCAUAUGGAGAAAGUUGGCCAACUUUCAUAUAUAUGAUUUACAAGAGUUUUUAAACGGUUUCUUAUAAUUUCUUUUAAAAUCUUUUAAAAACUCUUGUACAUCUUUUAAAACCCUUUAAAAAUCCCUUGUAAAUCUUUUAAAACACUUUUAAAUCCUUUAAAAAUCUUUAAAAAACUCUUGUAAGUCUUUUAAAGCCCUUUAAAAUCCCUUGUAAAUCUUUUAAAACCCUUUUAAAAUCCCUUGUAAAUCUUUUAAACCCUUUUAAAAUCUUUUGUAAAUCUUUUAAAACCCUUUUAAAAUCCCUUGUAAAUAUAUUUCCCGCCAAAAAACAAUUGUUUACGGGAAAAAUGUUUUCGAAAUUUUUUUUUGGCGGGAAAAUUUUGGCGGGAAAUUUUAUUUUGGAAUAUUUUAGGCAAAAAAUAUUAAUAUUUCAUUUUGUUAACCUAAAUCAAUUUACAAAUAGGAAUAAAAGGGUCAUUAAAAAUUUAAAUAGGGUAUAAAUGAAAAUGGUAAAUAGAAAAGGGUAGAAUUGAAAAGGGGUAGUGUGAAAAGGGCAUUAGAAAGAAUUUUUCAUUUUUAAUUAUACUUUCUUCUAAUUUUUAGUGAUCAUUUUAACCCUAUUUGAAAAUGUUUUAGGUUAACAAAAUGAAAUAUUGAUUUUUUCCACCAAAACGGCUUUUUGCCUAAAGAAACUUUCACGCCAAAAAAUUUCCCGCCAAAUUGGUUUUUUCAAAAACAAUUUUCCCCAUAUAACAAAAAAAAUGGCGGAAAAUAUAUUUUUAAAACCUUUGUAAUUCUUUUUAAAACUCUUGUAAAACUUUUUGAAACCUUUUGUAAGGGUUCACAAGAGUUUUAAAAUAUUUCAAAUUUUUUUACAAAUGUUUUAAAAUAUUAAAACAAAACUUUUUAAGAGUUGAAAAAUGAUUUAAUAAUAAGAAUUUUAAAAGGCCUUACAAAAGUUUCUAAAAUCCUUGUAAAUCGGUUUAAAACUAUUUGAAAACUUUUGUAAAUAAUUUUAAAACCUUUUACAAUGGUUUUAAAAGAAUUAUAAGUAUCUUUAAAUAUUUAUUAAGGUUUUGAAGUAUUUACAUGUGUAUUUAAAGACUUUAUAAAGAUUUUAAAAGAUUUCAAAAUGAUUUACAAGUGUUUUUAAGAACCGUACAAAGCUUUUAAAAAACUUUACAAGGAAUUUUAAGAGUUUUUAAAGGAUGUACAAGAGUUUUCAAAAAAUAUUUUGCGGGAAAAAAACAAUUUGGUGGGAAAACUAAAUUUUGGAGCCAAAACUUUAUUUGGCGAGUAAACUAAAUUUUGGCGGACAAAUUUCAGUUUCUUAUUAAAUAUUCUAAUUAAAUGGAGGGUAAUUUGGUUAUUUUGUUCAUGAAAAAGGAUAUUUUAAAAAAUAGACAAUGGUAAAGGGUAUUUUUGCAAAAGAGCAUUGGAAAAGAGUAUUUUUACAAAUCUUCCAAAUACAUUUGGGUAUAUUUGGUACCUACCUAUUUAUUAAAUUUUAUUCAUUAAAGCUUUGAUGGAUUUUGAAACCUCUUACAUUGGAUAGUUCCAUAUUUAACAAUAUAGACUAGGUCAGUACUCGUGUUUCGCAAGGGGUUCAUGAUUUAAUUAGUUUAUAAAUUUUGUUUCUGUAUAUAUUACUAAUAUAGUUUUAUUUUUAUUCAAAAUAGAUUUUUAGAUUAUCAAUUCCCAAAACACUAUCCUGUCGUUGUAGUAUUUUAGGUUGUCAAUCCAAUCUGCUGGUGUGAUGCAAACAGAUAAGAUAUUAUUAGAAUGCACUAAGUCAAACCAAGCAGAGAGUUUUUGGUUUCUAACAGUCCUCAUAUGAAAUAAAAGAACUGAAAUAAAACUGAAAUGCAAAAUGGCAGUAACAUGCAAAUGAAUGACAAAGCAGAUAAGAUAACAGGCAAUCAAAUGGAUAAGAGAUUCCUAAGGAUGGAGUAAUCGAAUAGCGUGGUCUCCUUAAUCUAUUUAGACGGUUGACAAAACUUCACAGAAGAUAUCUCUAGAAAACAAGUUCAAUGAAAGAUUAAUUCACUACCGUGUAAGAAAUCCUAAAGUGACGUUAUCUCCAUUAGCGAUCUCUAACUAAGCAGACAAUAUCGAAUCAACUUGUUAAAGCCAAUACCCGUUCUAAACGGCCAAUACCUUGGGAUAGAGACGAAUAUCACUGGAAUUAAUAGAUCCGACAUUCCAUCGAACGCCUUCUGAGCGCGGGAAUGUCUGGAUUCAUAUUCCAGUUGAUCAUAAAGGAACAAGCAAUAAGCGCAACUAAUCUAGAAGGGAUUCCAAUAUUCUAAACUCAACCAUCUAGACGACUAAGGUUACCACAACUACUCUAUCCCAUCCUCAGAAAUACAAUUCACUACUCAGACAUAAGCAAAGACAAUAUCAUAGAAACGAAUGAAAACAUGAUAAGGGAUCGAGAAAUGACAAAAGAUAAACGAAAUGAUACUAAGACUGAAAUAUUUAAUACUUGAAAGUGAAUACAAAAUCGCAGGAGAGCGUUGCGGCUACAAAAGUUUUAGAAAAAAGGAUCAUGCCCUAGGGAAAACCCCUAGAGGCUAUUUAUAAAAGCAAGACAAGUUAAGUAAGGAAAGUCUUUGAUAGUAGUCUUCACAUCGGGAGAUUGCGAUUGGGCAUAUGAUGGGCUGAAAUGGGACUCACUGCGAUGGAGUAUGUCAUGGAUCAAACUUGGCUUCAGGGACUCCACCUUGCAAUCGUGUGGUCUGGAGUGAAGACGAGAUAAAAUUGUCCAGCGACCCUGCGAUCGAGUAGAUGUCAUGAGGUGGUGAUCGAGUGGUUUCUUCAGCUUCUCUUCUCUUCCGUAUGCUCAGUGUUGGUGUCGGAUCCCGCACCAAAAGUCCGAAGUCGUCUCAGCCUGUAAUAAGCCCAAUCGCUGACUUAAUAAUGAUUUUACAAAUAUUUUUAAAAGGGGUUUAAAACGUUAAUAAUGAUUUUACAAGGAUUUUUAAAAGGAUUAGUACCUGAGCAGUAGGAAAAGAAUGAGAAACAAAAGGAUUUGAAGUCGUCUCAACCUAUAAUUAACACAAUCACUGACUUACUAAAUCUAUAUAUAAACCAUUUUUAAAAUUAUAACACAAGAAAGUUAUUGAAAAACCUACUCCACUGUCACAGAAAUUUGCUCUACUCUGUGAGAAUUUGUGCAUAAAAGUUGCAAGUUGUCUAUCGUUUCUAAUAUAAAGAGGAUGAGAUUGUAUUGUUCUAGAAGUGGAGACUUGCUUAUAACUAAGCUUCAAAGAAUUGGUUGAACUAUCUAUUCGAAAAUUCUCUACAAGAAUAUCAACCAAUGCGUGAUAGGUAAUGUGCUCAUCAAUGAGCACUAAAGAAGCUCCCAUUUCAAUGUCUAAUUCAAAUUCCCAAGUCAUAUUGUUUGUCAACUUCCACAAACCACAAACAGAAUACUAUUCUAUCAUUAUAACCUGAUAAGAUAAAUAACAACAAAAUCAAUACCCACAAACAUUGUCACUACAGAGAGAAGCAUGGUUUACAAUUAUUUUUAAAGCAUAAGUAAGUGGCAUAUAAUGAUUUACAAGGAAUUUUAAAAGCUUUGAAAAUGGGUUAACAUGAUUUACAAUCAUUUUUAAAGCAUAAGUAAGUGGCAUAGAAUGAUUUACAAGGAAUUUUAAAAGCUUUGAAAAGGGGUUAACAUGGUUUACAAUCGUUUUUAAAGCAUAAGUAAGUGGCAUAUAAUGAUUUACAAGGAAUUUUAAAAGCUUUGAAAAGUGGUUAACAUGGUUUACAAUCGUUUUAAAGCAUAAGUAAAUGGCAUAGACCUAUCACGAAAGCGUAAGUAAAGGGGUAAACACUAAAUCAAAACCAAAAUUUAUCACGGAACAAUAUAACGAAUUCAAAUCUAUCACAAAACAGUAUAACGAAUUCAAAAGGAAUUAACGAAUUCACAUAAUCAACCCCAAAAUCGAAAGCAAAAUAGUAGAAUUUACAAGGAUUUUAAAAACAAUUCAAUCAUUAAAUCUCAAACAAAAUUCAAAUUCGAAGCAUCAACAAAUGUCAAAUUGUCGAUUGAAUCAAUAUCACGAAUCACAUAAGCAACAACAAAAUCGAAAACGAGACAUUUAGGCUAAAAUUACAAAUUCGAAAUCGAUUCCAUGAGAGAAAAACAAACAUGGGGAAAACAAGAGAUUGAAAUGAAGACUGAGACGGUGAAAUCGAUAACACGAAUCCGACAAUCUCCGACGGCCACGACGCAAUGCGACAGCGACAAUUAAAACAAUCUCCGACGGCGAUGACAGACGAAGAAUACAUAUGACAUCAAUUGAAAUUAGAUCGAUUAGUCUCUGUAGUUCACUAAGGGUAUUUUGGGGAUAAAAUAAUUAGGUGGGGUAGAAAUAAAAAUGGCUAAAAAAUGGGUAAAGUUUAAAAGGAGCAUCAUGAAAAGGGCAUUAGAAAGAAUUUUACAUAAUUAUAUAAUAAAAUAUGUUUUCCUUAUAAAAAUGGUUUCUAUCACUAACUCUUUAACCAUCAACAACCUACUAUUUUAUUAAAUGACAUUGUUUUUUCCUUAGAUUCUUAUUGGAUAUCUCUUCUAAGUCGUUAAUAUUCAUUUUCUUUAUUUUUGAAUUAGUAUUUAUUUUGCAUUUUUCUCUAAACUACAAUAUGUUGUUGUAUGUUUGUCUUUGUUUGAGGUUAGUAUAUUUUUUACUCAUCGCUAUUUGCCAAUUUUCAUAAUUAUUUUGAAUCAAUGGUGGAGUAUUUAUUAAGAUAUUAGUUUGUUUAGUGACAAAGUAUGAGAUAAUAUAUUUUUUUACAAAUGUGAGUACUUACAAUUUGUUUUCUUAUAGGAUUAACAACUGAUUGUAUAAUUUUUUUAAUCCUUUUUCUAUUUUUCAUAUUUUUCUUGUUUAGUUAGUAACUUAUAAUUAAAACAUUUAGAUUAAUUUUCUAAAUUCUAUAGUUUUAGAAAAUAAACAUAUAAUUUUAUUAUAUAUAAGUAUAGUUUCCUUAUAAUAAUCUUUUUAUAUUCUUCAAACUGUUUAAAUUGUAUAAUUUUGUUGUAAUUAUUUUUUUAUAAUUUUUUAAUUGUUAAAUACAAAACUUUUGUUUGCGACAUAACAAAAAUCUCCUAUGAAAAUAUAGGUAUUAAAAUUGCAUUGAUAGAUUUGAAAUUUCGUGUUUUUUUUAGUUGAAAUUUAUCCUCUUAAUUAUAUGAUUUUAAUUUUUACUUAUUUUGAAAAUCUGUACUUUUCAUUUUUUAUGCAUAUAUCAAAAUAGAGAAGCAUUUCCAUAUGUACAUGUGUGAAAUCUCAUUAAUAAAUGGACAUAACUUUAUACUUUUAUUUUUUAUAAUAUUUUUUAUUUUUUAUAAUGCAUAGUUUCAUUAUAAUUAUCCUCUAUCUUUUAUAAUAUUGUUCUAAAAAAUUUAUUUUUUAUACAUGUCAAAAUCUAAGAUCUCUAAAAUUGACCCGUGUUAUAAUCUCCUGAGUUACUAUCAAAACCGUACUUUGUAUAAUAAGAUCCCUUUAGGUAGACAAAUAUUUGUACUUUUUUAUGUUAGUAUCCAACAUUAUAUUUUGUUGCCUAAACUGAACAUUAUUAAAUUGUUAAUUAUAAGAUUUCACCUAUAGUAUACCUUCCCGUAUUAAUAUCGAUCCAAACUCGUCCCACCAUAUAACUAUACAACACUGGUUAUUUAGAAUUUCGAUUGCCCUUUAAGGAUAACAAAAGAAAGAAACAACAAAUGUUGUUUUCAAAUAGAUAUUCCAAAACCUUGUCUAGAUUAAUUAAAAUGGUAUGAAUUUUUUAUUUAUUUAAUUACUUUUACAUAUUAAUUAUUCUACACAAUUUAUGAAAUACUAAUUGUUUUUUCUUUAGUAUGUGCAGGUUGACCCAUUAACGAUCCGAUCCAACGCUUCUUCACCUGAAAAUUUGCUUGGAUUCUCUUCGUUUAAAAACAAUACCAAAUAAACAAACUUUUGCCUGAUGAAAUCAAUGACCGAUCUUGGAUGCAAGUUUAAAGAGUCUUUCCUCAUCGUUCGUUCAGUUUCUUAAUCGCUUCUUUGUAUUUUCAAAUUCGAUUGAUAUUCUGUAAAUUCCCUCAUUUUGGUCAAUUGCUUUAAUGUAACUUCAAAUUUGAGUUUUUUCAUUCUCUUCAAACUCUGUUUUUAAUGGAUUUGAUAUGGUGAAGGAGAAUACACUAAACAUGGAUGGGAAGAAGAAGGAGAAGCCAGCAGCUCAGUUUCACUCAAUCGCAUAGCCGGAGGAAUCACCCACUCUAUAUCGUUCACGUGGCAAUCUUUGGUUGGUCCCGGACUUUCGGUGCGGGAUUCGACACCAACAAUUAGCCCUCCAAGUCUUUCGAAGUGUUAUCCUAAUUCGGAAGACUUUAAUGCUUUAAUGUACAAAGAUUGCGCUAGAUGAUUGUAUGAUUUCCCACCAAAAUCUUGUUACUCCCUUGAUUCCGGCACUGUCCAUAUUUACCCGUAUGACAUCUGUCACCAUUAUGACCACAUCUUAAUUAUUUACCAUUAAAGCGGGAAAAUCCUUCACCUUCCCCCACGACUCCCAAGGCGGUUCCAUCAUCAUCACCAGCUUGCGUGAGGUAAAUUUAUUUUAUAUCUUUCUUUUUUUUUACGCUUUUCUCUCUUAGAACAAAGAUCCUCUCUGUUUUACUCUACCAAUUUUUUCUUCGAACACCGGAUUUUUUUAUUCUCUACGAUGAAUCCUGAUACUGAAAGACCCGAAUCCCCAUCUUUCAACGAGUGUGGUUAUAGCAAUGAUAUAUGCACUCGCCCGAACGACAUCGCCGGUCCACACUAUAUGUCUACUUGUACCCUUCAAUGCCUUGAGCGACUGAAGGAGCUUUGCCGGAUUCCGCCGGAGAUUAUGACGGAAUCAAAGAUGCAUGGUCCCAUGGAGUCCCCGGAGGACCAUCGCUCCGGUUAUUUUUGCGUUUACGAGAUCUAUUUCAAGGGCUGCGGGUUGACCUUUCCUUUUCCUGAAGCCUUGGUCUGUUACUUGGAAACUCUUGGAAUUGCCCUGUCCCAACUAACCCCCAACCUUCUCUGAACUAUCUUGGGGAACAUAACUGUUACGGCGGAAGCCGGAUACGUUAUCGAGGUUCCUGAACUAAACAAGCUUCUUAGCGUGAGAAGUUCAUCGAAGAAAACUGGGUACUUUUCGGCGUACCCGAAUGCCAACAGGAACCUCAUCUCGCACCUCCCGAACAAGGAUGAGAACUGGCAUCAACCUUGGUUUUUGAUUAAGAAAACCCUUGCUUCAAUCGGAAAUCUUUCCGAUGUGCUUCCAUCGAAGUGGUCUACGAAACCCGGUAGAAAUUAGGUCGCAUAUACCUUCUCUGUUUACCUUUACUGUUUAUUGACCAAAUCUGUUGUUUCACUUCGCAGCUUUCAUCGCUCGGACUCUCUCGACCGAGGAAUUCAUCGAACUCUUCAAAAUCGUCUUCGAAGGGGAAACCCUCUGGAAUUCCUUCACCCGUGACCGGUUUAUAGAGGCCAAUCACAAACUCAGAAUGAGCCCUCCCGGACAGCUUCAUCAACUUCCGCCACCUCCUUCCCUAUCUCAAGGAACAUUAGCCCGUGAUCUUGCUUCUCGGUGGAAGGUGAUAUCAAAGCCGAUGGCUGAGGCUUGCGAGGUAAACAAGACGUUCCUUGCUAGUUGACAAUGGUAGCGCCGAAGGGGCCAGAUCGGCCGAUGCGUUUAGGUCAACACUCCGUCCUGAACGCCAUGGUGGUCGUUCUCCUCGGAGAAAAAGAUAUCCCCGUCGUGACUCUCCUCGCUCUUCUCCCCGAGGUGGACUGAGCAGCGAACCCAUUGGUAAUUUAGUUUGCAAAAAGAGAGACAGACCGGCUCGUGGCAGCUCUUCUCCCCGAAGGGACAAAUCAAAGGCCCGGACUUUUGACAGAUAGCGUCCCGGAAUUUGAGAACGCUUCUUACUCCAUGCUUACUAUUCAUCGCGGGGUAGUUUCAUUUCCCUUUUUCUAAUCUUGCUAUUCCUUUACGUACUAACUUACUUUCUCGGGCUUAUACUCAGUGCCAGGCAAACAGCAAACUUAACGACAUGGUUGAGCACUAUGAAGGAUUGCUGCUUAGUAGGGAGCAAGACAUCGACACUUGGAAGGGCAAGUUUUCUUCCCUCGAGGCUGACCUCCGUCCCUCUCCGGUUCCAAGCAAAAAUUGGAGGACCAAGUCGACCAUCUCUCUUCUGAACUCAUGGAAUCAAACGGCGAGUUGCAAGAUCAGUACCGUAGACAUGACAAACUCCAAGAUGAACUCUCAGUUGCCCAAGAUAGGCUUUCUGAAUCUGAAUCGGUUGCUUACACCUUGAACAACCAGUUCACCGAACUUAAGGCAAAGUACAAGGCAAUCGCCAAGCUUCGAGAUGCUGAGUUAGCUAAGUCGGCGUUAAAAGCCAGAAAAGAAGUGAAAGGUCGCAGGAUAGAGCUGAUUCAGGGGGCCAUUCUUUUCAUUCAAACCGAAAAGGCAAGAUCAGAGCUGGAAUCUAAUAUUAAGGAGCACGAAAGCAACCUACUCUUGUUGGACCAGGUCCACGAGGAGGAUUUCAGCGAGGAGUAAGAGAGGUCCGAUUUGACAGCCGUUUUAUCCGAGAAACAUAGCCGCCUUCUUGCUCUCCCCGCUUCAUCCUUCAACCCUCAGCACUUCAAAGAGUUCUUCAUCGAAUCACCCCCUUUGGGUGAAUCGGGUUUAGAUUGGGCUGGUAAACUUUCAUACUUAAAGUUUUAUCACUUACAGUUUUUUUAUAUAUACUCUUUACUGAUUUGAACUGUUCUCCUCAGGUUCAAGUGAAUCGGAUGAUACUGCUGCACCUAAGGUGCCUGCCAUACUGGUAGAGAUUGUUGAACCUGACCCUAUUUUGCCCAAAGCUCCUCCGUUGUGAACAGCGAGACGGAGAUCAUCCCGGAUGAUGAGUGUGAUGCUAGGCACGAGCCGGGAACCUCUUUCGAGACACUCCCUGGCGUUGAACCGAAUGAAACCGAGACGACUGAUGUCGAGCCCGAGAUAGCUACGGAUUAAUAGUGGUUGCGUCCACUUGAAAUUGGAGGUUGUCCCAAAUAUUUAAGAACUUGAAAUUAAUUAUUGGAUAAGUAUUUACCUAAGGAGGCUUUUAAACUUUUUUUAAACUAUGAUCCCAAGAGGGUUUGACUAAAGUAGAAUGCGGGUUUGCAAAGUCCGCCUUUAAAUAUUUUGACCAUGUGGUUAAGUUUCGAGAUUCUAAGGUUGAUCAGACCUUUCUAAUAGAACGCGAGAAAUGAGCUCAUCUUAACGCGAAUUUCCCAUCUCGGGUUGAGUUAAUUCAUUACAUUUAUUGGGCUUGGGCCUUAACUGUUAUACCUUGUAUUUAAUGGGCUCUUUGUCUUAAAUGCGACGGUUGCCAUUUCCCAUCCUAUUUCUCGAGAAACCGGAAAAAACCUCACGCCUUUGAGGCAAUAAUUGCCUUUUAUCGAUUUCCAAAUAUGGCUUAAACCAUUCGGACACGCCAUCAUUAUUGAAUUUUUGGUUUCAAGACAAGAUCUAAACCUCUAUAAAUAAAAGUUUAUCUAUCACCGAAUUUCCCCCAAGUAUGAUUUUAGAAAUUUACUUGAUAAACACCACGAGAAUGGAAAACGAAGGAGCCUCCACUGUCUGUCCUCUCGACCCUGGCAGUCCAUUGUUUCUGUCCGGCGAUGAUUUCGAACCUGCCGGCGUUCUCUUUCCACACACCGCUUUCCACUUUCCUCCGAAAGAUAAAAAGGAGGCGUACGACUAUAUGGACAAGGUCGGGAUUCAUUCUUCUUCCCUCUAUUACGAUUCUUCAUCUUUUUUUUAUAUAUUUACCGGUUUCCAUGUUAGGUUGUCGACAAACAUCGCCGCUUGUGCGAUGAGAGGCAACGUCUGGGCCUCAAAAGGCAAACGCUCGAGGCCCGAAUCGCUCGAGUGGAGAGGAAGGUGAGGGAAAUGGAGAGUGAUCCCUUUCAAUGGGAGUUGAGGAACUUCGACUGCGUUGCCAAGAUCCCGACUAUGCUUUGGAUGUACCUCCGCGCUCGUGGUCAAGUUCUCGGUCUCGUGAAUGCUCAUGUUGAGGUGGUCCCAUCCGAUAGCGAGGAGGACGACGAAGAAGAGGACAUCGACCCCUCGAAUUGUGUCAAGAAUGAACCCAAGGUAGACGACAAAAAUGAAGCGUCCACUUCGAAUGCUGAAUCGGCGAUGAAGGAGCAUGUUCCUAAACCUCUUCCAUAAAUGUCCCCGAACUUGCUACUUACUUUUUUUUAUUUUUUUUUUAACUCGUUAUGGGCUCCGGCUCAUUUUUAAUUUAUGGAAACUUUUUUAUUUCCUUGAUCUCAAAAUACUCGUUUUGGAGAUAUGUUUUAAAUGCAGGGCCAACUGGAAGGCGUAGGUCUUUCCGCGAAUCACUCCGGCCUCAAAUAGAAUUGCAAUCUUCAAAGGUGCCAAGUCCCUAUAAAUUGCGACUCCAAGUUUUCUUUAUUUUUUAUUACAACUUUCUUUUCCUUUUGCAGCUAUGGAGUUUAACCUUCGAUGUUCGGAGUCCAUGCCAGACUUUUCUAGGGUCGGAAUGAUGGAUGAGGACAUCCCAAACGUGCGGGGAAGAGGGCCUUCUCAACCUCGUGGCUUCUUAAGGUCCCAAAUCCGAGCUCCAUGUGCAUUGAUGAAGGGACUUUCUGACAUAGACCAAGAAAUCACGAUGGCAUUCAUCAAGGCUCUUGCGGUUCAGCACCAGAAGCGUUCGUUGGAAAGGAGGAAAAUCCGAAAAAAGAUUAACCGAAUAUUACGUAGGGUUAUUGCGAUAUCGAGGGAACUUCACACCCUCAACUCUCACCCCGGGGACUGGAUUGAGCUUGGAAUUUCCGAAUUUGAUCGCAUACCGGAUUGUAUGAUGCCGAUUCUUGAACUCGCUGGUCAAGGAGUCCAACUGUUCUACAAGUCGAGAAGAGUUUCUUAAUUUGAAGUGCUAGCGUGACGAAACUUCGUCUUCUUUGCUUACUGCUUGAAUACUUUCGUUUUGUUUCCUGUAUUUGCAUGUUCGCGUAGUCGAACUUUUCUUGCUUUGUUCGUUCGCACAGUCUGAACUCGUUCCCAAGCUGCGUACGUACCUAUUUCAAGAUCAAGCGACACCGUAGUUCAUGUACAUAACAAAAAACGCGUGUUUACUUAAACAUAAAACUUCUUUAAAAUGACCACAUUCCAAAGACCCUAGACAGGCAUGUCUUCUUAAUCUUUUAACCUAUAAACACCAUUCUGAUCCACUUCGGUAAUAAUAUAAGGUCCUUCCCAAUUAAUAUCGAGCUUGCUUGCUCAUUCUUCCUUUUUAUUGUUGAAAACGCGCUUUAGAACGUAAUCACGUACAAAGAAAGGUCUGAUUUUGAUUUUGGAAUUGUAAUAUCGAGCUGCUGCCUGCUGGUAAUUCUGAAUCCGGAUCAAAGCUUGGUCUCGCCUUUCGUUGAUAGUAUCUAACGAAUCAUCGAGCAUUGCUGAGUUUUCUUCUUCGGUUAGGGGAGCCUCUGUUCAGCAAAGUCCAUACACGUUGAGCUCGGCCGGGACCACUGUUUCCAUCCCAUAAACUAAAAAAAACGGAUUUUCCCCAGUAGACCGCCUAGGAGUUGUGCGGUAAGCCCAUAAAACCUGUUGAAGCUCGUCGUACCAACCUCCCUUCAAAUGAUUCAGGCACUUUUUUAGAUUGGUUAGGAUUGUCUUAUUUGCGGCUUCGGCUUGACCAUUUCCUUGUGGAUAACGUGGAGUGGAGUAACUGACUUUGAUUCCCCAAUCUGUACAGAAAGUUUCGAAUUCGUGCGAAAUGAAUUGUGGUCCGUUGUCUGUGACUAUCUCGUAUGGGACACCAUGCCGACAUCUGGUAUUUUUCCAAAUGAAAGUUUUUACUGCCAAAUCUUACGUAUGCUUCAGCCUCAAUCCAUUUUGAAAAAUAAUCAGUUAAGACAAAAGAUAUUGUACGCCUCGAGUUGAUCUGUGCAAUGGUCCAAUGAUAUCCAUCGACCACCUCAUAAACGGGUAUUGGGCAGAGAUAGAAAAGAAUAACUCCAAAGAUUGAUGGAUUAGAGGUGCAUGAAGUUGGCAACGCUUACACAGCUGGGCGUACUUAACACAAUCUGUUAUCAUAGUGGGCCAAUAAUAUCCCAUUCUUUUAAUUUUGAAAGCCAUUGCCCUUCAUGAUGAAUGACUACCACACAGACCUUCAUGCACUUCGCUCAUGACAAUUUUGACUUCGAGCCCAAAGAUGCAUAGUAGGUAAGGGUCGCUGACACCUCGCUUAUAUAAUGCGUCCUUUGACAAACAAAAUUUUGCGCUAACGAUUCUCAUUUUCCUGGCCUGCCACUUAUUUUUUGGGAGCUUGCCUGUCACAAUGUAAUGUUUUAUUGUCUCCCUCCAAUCAGUCUCCCAAUCUUUAGCCUGAAUUUGGUCAACCUCGUGAAAUAUUCUUGGUUCCGGUUUGGGAUGCUCGUUUAGCUCAAGUAUAUCCUCCUCGAUAAGUGGCUCGGUCUCUAUAACCGUUUCUGGAACUGCGUCUUCUGUCAGGUCAAUAGGCUCCUCGCUACUAUUUUCUUUAGAUGUGCCAGACUCAAAUAUGGUUGAACCUUUUGACUUCCUCCACUUUAUGGAAGUAAUUCUAUUCUCAGGCUCACCAAGCUCACGCGCCGCAGCUCGAGACCUUGUAAUGACGAGGGUCCUUUUUUCCUCCUUAAUGUUCUAUUCUGAAAUGCAUUCUACUGGAGUGACUCUUUUUACCAAAGGAUCUGACGUUGACGCCAGCGUGGCAAGUGCGUCCGCGGUUGUAUUUUCUCCUCGAGGUAUGCGAAUGAGUUCAAAUUUGAGAUAUGCUUCCAUUCUUGAAUCUUUGGUUUUGUAAUAUCCAUUGAACUGGUUAACAACCAGUUGUGAAUCACAAUAAGCGAUCAAUUCUUUAGCUCCAACUCCUUGUGCCAACCUAAGUCCAGCGAUUAGAGCUUCAUAUUCUGCCUCAUUGUUAGAAGCAUUGAAUAGCAAACAGAAUGAUUGCUCAAGAAUUUCCGAUGUGGGAGAUUCCAACUUGAUUCCCACUCCUGUUUUGAUGAACAUCUAUCUACAUGCAACUUCCAAGUUUCAUUUUGUGGUUGCUCCGGCGCGCCAAGUACUGGUAGUUUGGUCAGGAUAUCUGCCAAAACUUGGGCCUUCAUGCUGACUCGGCUUUUGUACUCUAUAUCAUACUCACUUAGCUCCACUACCCACUUCGCCAAUCUUCCGGACUGACUUGGACUAUGAAGAAUUGUUCGAAGUGAAUGAUUGGUUAAUACUUCGAUCGGAUGAGAUUGGAAAUAUGGACGCAACUUUCGGGCAGAAGUUACAACCGCAAGUGCGAGUUUUUCCAUCAUUGUAUAUCUAGUUUCUGGAUUUGUCAUGGACUUACUUACGUAGUAAAUCGGCUUCUGUUCUCCGCGAUCCUCCCGUAUCAAGACUCCACUAACUGCAAGGUUCAACACUGAAACGUACAAAUAGAGCUUUUCAUCCACUUCGCGCUUGGACAGUACGGGUAGAGUUGUUAGGUAUGCCUUAAGCUGUCCAAAUGCCUCUUCACAUUUCUCAUCCCAAAGGAAUCCUUUGUUUCCUUUUAGAAUUUGAUAAAAGGGUAUAGAUUUAUCUGUUGAUAUUGAAAUAAAACGGUUUAGAGCUGCAAUCCGACCCGUUAACCGUUGCACUUCUUUGAAAUUUUUUGGAGACGGCAUGUUGAGAAAAACAUUGAUUUGGUUCGUAUUGGCUUCAAUUCCCCUUUUUGUCACAAUAUAACCAAGGAAUUCCCAGGAUGGAACUCCGAACGUGCAUUUUGUCGGGUUCAGCUUCAUUUGGUAUUGAUUGAGAAUUUCAAAACAUUCUUCUAAAUGCUUAAUGUGGUCCUUUUUCUUUAACAACUUGACCAACAUAUCAUCUUUGUAAACUUCCAUAGUCUUCCCAAGAUGUUCGUGGAACAUUUUGUUGACCAAUCGUUGGUAAGUAGCUCCUGCAUUUUUUAAACCAAAAAGCAUUACUUUAUAACAUUAAAUACCUCUAUCCGUGAUAAACGAUGUUUACUCCUGAUCUUCGGGAUUCAUCAUUAUUUGAUUAUAACCCGAGAAGGCAUCCUAAAAGUUAGUAACUCGUUCCCAGCGGUAGAUUCCACAAGACUCUAUAUGCAGAAGCGGGAAACUAUCCUUCGGGCAGGCUUUAUUGAGGUCUGUGAAGUCGAUGCACACUCUGUCUUUUCCAUUCUUCUUCUUGACCACAAUAGAGUUUGCUACCCAAUCUGGGUAUGGCACCUCCCUUAUAGACCCUAUCUUUAAAAGUUUAUCUACUUCGUCAUUUACCGCCUUUGCUCGUUCCACUCCGAGUUUUCUUCUUUUUGGUUUUACAGGCUUGAAUCUCUGAUCCACGUUUAGCUCGUGGCAGAUUAUGCUUGGAUCUAUGCCACGCAUAUCCGCUGCUGACCACGCAAACGAUGCUUUAUUUUUGUUCAAAAGUUCUAUUAUGGCUUCUUUUAAUUUGUCGGUUGAUAUGAUUCAAACUACCUAGAACUACUCUCUCAAAUAAGAGAUCAAUUGCAGUAUUUUAGGAUCGAUUUCACGGAGUUCUUUUGUUCAAACAGUGAGUUAAAUGUCGAGAUUAAGCUAGCAGGGUGUGAGUGA
rnacentral:lncRNA from 1 species